rnacentral:lncRNA from 1 species
CAGACAUAGCAAAACAGAAGUGUAAAAAAGUCACCAUGGGGUACUAUUAAGAUUUUCAUGUUUCAGCUGAUAUAUUAAUGGUGUUCUUCUAAAAUGCCGCCGUAUUGUUACCAUUUUUUCGUGGAUUGACUUAGAAUGUGAAAUUCAAGAGAUAUUUCCACAUGAAAGGAUGAUUGGUUGAUGCCAUUCUUUCAUGGUGUACAUCACCAAACAUUCUGCCAACAUCUAGGCUUAAUUUAUUUUUCUCAGCUUGGGAACACACAGUGGAAUGAUAUCCCCACUUCCAUUCAAUCGGCCCAUUGUUUAAUGCACAUACAAAAAAGUAAUAUACCACUAUAUGUGGUAAUUAUAAAGCGCUUCAGCUAUGUAUUCCACAAUCUACAUCAAUCUAGGAGGUAAAAAAUAAACAUGUGUACUGGCAGAAAGUGCCAGAAAAACAGAGGAGUUGCAUAUGUACUGCCACAAAGAAGAAUCAGGUUAUAAGAACAAUAGCGUCUGUGAACUUACAUUAUUCCAACAUACCCAACAAUAGCCAAGGUUAACAUCACGCAGAUCCCGUGAGAGAGAGAAAAGCCACCAAAGUUUCAGCUAGAAUCAAUAUAGGCCAGAAAACUCAGAAGAAUCGGUAAACUUCUGCUAGUAAAGGAAAUAUUACACGCUACCAGGUCAACCAAUAUUCUACUCAUGUCCAUACGAUUCGUAAAACCAUGUCAUGAUAUGAAUAAAAAAAAUCAAAAUGUUCCACAUGCGGCCGUUGGUGAGCUUCAGCUGUUAGUGGCUCAACGUGUGCAUGUAGUUAGCUAGUGGAGAGUUUUGUGGAUCAAGUUGUUAGUGGCUUGACCAUGUGCGUGUGUGCUCUCUAUAUAAAGCCCUGUAAUCUGGUUGUAAGAUGAGAGGUGUGUAUUCUAUCCAGUCAAUUAGCUUGUGUUGAUCCUUAGCUAACAUAAAAAAGCACAAGUUAAGGUGCUGCGAAAUUCCUCUCGCGCAUGUAUUGUAUCCAGUCAAUUAGCUUGUGUUGAUGAUCCUUGGCUAACAUAAAUUAAAGAGCACCCUGGUAAAGAAACCCCCCAGGCUCCGCAUCACAGCAUCACCACAAGAAAAUUAACUAAACCAUCGCACAUGAAGUAAUCAAGGAUCAAAGAGCAAUCAAAGAUUUGAUCAAAAGCAACAGCAGGGUACGAAGCAGUCGUACAAAUGUGAAAUAAAUCCUUAGACCAUUUUUCAUGUUCAAUACUUAUAAGGCUGUAACAAAGACCCUAUGCCAUCAAAGAUUACCCUUCAUUUUGUAAGAUAACUCCCACAUCCGCAAAAUCACAAUAUUAACCAACCCAGAAACCUGCAGCAAAUAGGACAUUAAAUUUUUGCAAGUUAAUCUCUUGCAUGCUCAACUUUAUUCCUCGGCCUGAUAUGAGGUCAAACCCACAGAUUAGCCCUAGGAAGCUUAUACGUAAACACAAAUUACAUACCACAAAUCACUUGCCAUGAAGUCCAGUAAUAGCAUCGCCGCUGGACAAUCUAUGCAAACGAAUCGAAAGAAAACACAUAAAAAACAUAGUGGGAAUCUUAGAUGUGGGCAGCAGCAAAAAAAUGGGAAUCAGUAAUUUAGCUGAUCCUGCCUUCACUCAUGUUUAUUUCAGUGGCAGCAAUAAUACGUGAGAGUCAGUAAUUUUAUUUGAUCCUGCCUCCACUCACGGUUAUUUCGGUGGCUGAGAGGCAUAGCAUCAUAAAUCAACACAACACCUGAACAGAUGAACAAAUGUAGAGAAUCAAGACAAAUCAAGGGACACAAGAUGGAAGAACCAGAAAAGCAAGAGAUCAAAACGCGAAGUGACGCGUCGGCAUGCUCCGGAGGCAGUAACGCCCUUCUGACGGGUGACACUGAGGCAAACCAGGAACGGGAUAGCCGAUCCAAGCUACAGUUACAUUCACAGCCACAGCUACAUCCCCAAGGGCGCAUUUCCACAAACAGGUGGUGAGCAGAGAGAGACCCAGGUGCGUAUGGCCAGGGCAGGGGCUGAUAAUCAACAUAGGCGAGAGGGACAAAGAAGGGGAAGGGAGCAGCUCACCCUGCUUGGUGUGAUGGUGUCGGAUAAAAGUCAAAGAACUGCAGCACGGCAAGCGUCACCUGCAGCCACACGCAGCAUGGCCAGUGCCACGCCGGAGUUGCGCCAAACCACGACGGUGGCGAGCGGCAGGGGAAGGGCGUGGCAACUGCCAAAUACCGCCGCCGCCACAACCACGCCAGAGCCUCAGCCACCAGCGAAUCACAAAACCCGUCGCAGCAACAAACAAUCAACCGAUGAGAUGUAGAGACCCGGCACUCAAACACGCUUAUAUAGCGGAUGGCAGCGCGUACCAGGCCACACAGACCAUCAAGAGGACGGGAAGAAGCUAGAGGCGAGUCACGCAGACGAUCAACAGGAGCGGAAGGAGCUGGAGGACUGUACUCUGGACUGAACAGAGUUGUUCUGGCCGAUGGACAGAACUGAGUUGCUCUGUCUGCACUGGAAAUAGACAGGGGUAUAGGGAAGAAAAGUACACCUACAAGGUAUGUUUCACACUACAAAAUGCACACUAAUCAAAUCAAAUGGAUGAAAUUCAAGUUACAGGUGCAAAAUGCACUUUCUAAGGACUGCAAAUCAAAAGACAGGUUGCAGAUUCAAAAGGAACAAUUGCAAAGCAAAAUGCUAAUACUGCAACUUCGGGUGCAAUUCCAAAUCAUUCAAAUGCAAAUGCACCCACUUUUAUUGGGAUUUCAAAAUUCUGAUAAUACUGCAAUCAGAAUAAGCUACAGGUGCAAUUCAAAAUCAAUCAAAUGCAAAUGCACUCUUUUAUUGGAAUUUCAAAAAUUUGAUAACACUGCAAUCAGAAAAAGCUACAGGUGCAAUUCCAGGACAUUCAAAUGCAGAUUGCACUCAAUUUUAUUGCAAUUUCAAAAAUCUGCAAUCAAAAUGGCCUGAAAUGGUUCCGGCUCCUGACCAGUCAUAGUGAAACAUAGAGUUGGAGGUAUGAGAACUAACUGUAUACUCUGUCGUCUUUUUCCUCUUCCUCGCCAUCAACCCCUACAGCAGAUCCCCCCCCCCCCCCAAUGCACAUUAAUCAAGUUAAGAAAAUGAAUGAAAUCCAAGUUACAGGUGAAAAAUUCAAAAAGGAAUGAGGUAAGUGAAAGUACAAUUGUAAACACUGCAAUCAGGUGCAAAUUGUUUUUUUUUACUGAAAACUGUAGGAAAGAUUCCGACAGUGUACAAUUAUAUUAAAGAAAAAUAUUUACCAGGAAAAGGGGGGAAGGGAGAAAAUAAAAGAGGGGAAAGAUACAAGCAGCCCCUAGGGCGCAAAAGAAACAGACACAAGCCAAGCCAGCAGAGCUGUUCUAGAGCUAUCCGAGAGAUGCACACUUUGCCUAGCUAGACCUUCCUUCAAGCCUUGAAAUUAAGAAGCUCUAGAGGGCCUUAGCUGAUUGAAGAUAAGACCAUUCCUUUGCUUCCAAAUGGCCCAGCAUGAAACACUGAAGCUGCAUCUAAAAAACAGGUGAUCACUAGUCUCACGAGUGUUGGUCGAGCAAAGCGUGCAAGAAACAACGCCAUCUCGAUUGCAGUUUUUGCGGUCCAUGAGAUCUCCUGUGUGAAGGCGAUCCAGAGAUAGAAGCCAACAAAAUCCCCUGAGCUUGGCCACUCACUUGUUCUUCCAAAUCCAAGAAUAAAGGCUCGAACGACCACUAGAAGAAAAGGAAUAGGCAUAGAAAUGUUUAGGUCUGAAAGUUCCAUUCCCCCAAAUGCUAAGCCACAGAUCUUUGUCAUUGGAGUAUCAGGUGCAAAAUUCAAAACAUACAGCUGAAAUUGCACUCACCUUUGAUUGCAAUUUCAAGAAUUUGCACAGCUGGGCAUGGCGUUUUUUUCCUUGUUAAAUUAAUGAAACCAUCCUUGUCUACAGUUGUAGUUACACAUGGCAGAUUUGUGCAACUAAAGUUCUGAACAUGGGAUCAAUGUAUGGCUCCUGGAGGAGUCUGAAAAAGGAAGAGAGACAUGCCAAACCGUGCUACCUGCAGAUGUUCUACAAACUUAAGUUUAGGCAGCUGGUGAGUUCAGGUUCAGUGUUGCAACACCAAAACAAAAAUACCUGUCCCAAACCAAAUCCCAUCAACAAAGACACUGUUACUAUUAUUUUCAGGUUAAGACUGUCCUGAAACUGGGCGAACAAGCUGCACAACCUACACAACCUACGGAAAGCAUGGUGCCUGGUAGGAUUGUGCCAAGGCCAAAAGAAAGGCAAGUGUGCCCAGUCUUAUGAAAUUUACUAAGCAGAGCGCGGGGAAGCAACUGACUGACCAGUUUGAUGUUCGGAAGAAGCAGAAAGACACACACAAGGAUUCAGAGCUGAGAGCUCUCAAUCAAGCAGCAACCUGAAAAGCAGAAAUCAAAAGCAUCAUGCCAUAUGGCAUGCAAGAUGUUGUGAACUAUUCUCUUGUUAGGGAUGUAGUUAGGGACAGGUUUUCGUCCCGUAGACAGCAUCUGAUUGCAGAUGUUGGUCACUGGGUUUCCUGUCCACCGUAGUUUUAUUUUGCCAUGUUAACUGGCUCUCUGUUCUUCCCCUUCCCUCUACCCUCCCUGUUAUGUUUGUUGGAGACUUUGUAUUUCCAUCAUGUAAAAGUAAUGGAAAGGGGCGAGAACCCGGGUUGAAAAUAUGGCAUGCAAGAUUGCAUCAAACGUACUAAGAGCGGGACUCCCAGCCUCCAAUUUCUCCAAUGAUACAGCUUGAAGUGAAGACCAAACAUCAUAAACCUGAACUGUGUUUGUUGGAGUGAGAAAUAUAUUGCCAUUUUUUUUCCUGUGUUGUUGCCAUUGAUUAGGAAGUGUGUAUCAUUUUGUAUUAGAGGAAAACACCAAGACGACGCAGCUGUUACAAAACCCGAAACGGAAAAGAAAGCAAAAAAAAAAAAAAGAGAGGAAGGAACAAGAGUGGCCAACAGCCAAAGCAAAAACAAAACCUGUACAACUUGGCUACCCCUGUAGGCCUCUACAAAAGUAAAGCACACAAUUCAGACCACCUGUUUCUUAAGCACUUGACCAAGCAUAUUGCAUAGAAAAGGACAGGAAUCUGUCACUUCUAGUCUCUCCUACAGUCUAUUAUGAAACUGGAACUGAACGCAGAAUGGCAGAGUGAAAAAUGUUACAUGGAGCACUUCUCCUCUACUUUUCAAGUAUCCACAUCCAAACCGAACAAAAAAAGACCGAGCAAAAAUGAGUAAGAAAAAAGGUUGUGAGUAAACAAACUAGCUCAAAGCAUUUCACUCGGCAUCAUCUCGCCAAAUAGGAGAAGGGGGGCCUCACCGCCGACAAAAUGGAGAUGCCCUUGCCUUUCAUUUUCUAGUGCAUCCAUAUGACCAUAUCGGUUAGAUAGCUGCAGAUGCAGUCAACACCACCAAAAAAGGCAAACGCUCGUAUAAACUGAACUACAAAACCAACUUGUAAUGUGCAAACACUAAACAAGCUACAUCCCGAACCUUGUUAGUUCAUAUUAUAACCGGACAGAGAGUUGAAGCUCCAAUAUAUAAUGUUGGCAGAAGUUCAAUAAACUUAAAAUCAACGACAAACUGUACCUCAAGGAUUAUAAGAACAUUACUAUUUUGCAGAAUUCUCCUGUCCCACUCAGAUAUGGCAUUGGGAUGCUUCCAUUGUUCCAGUCUCGAAUAAUCUACUCUAGGCAAUUUUCUGAGACAUUAGUUGAUUUACUGACACUUAGUUGUUCAAAACUUCGGACCCAAAUGCUCAAAGGGACCCAGUGCAUUGAAUAACUGCAAUUUGCUUAAGCUACAGGUGCAAAAAACAAUAUAAAUUGGAUGCAAUCCUAAUUCAAAAGGCUGCAAAUGCAUUUGUAGAAACUGCAAUUUGGUUUGCUAAAACUACAGGUGCAAAAAAAAGAAGGGGGCCCAGAACUACACUGAGGCCCAGAUACUGAAGAAAAAACCACCACUGGUCUAUUGACAAAUUAAAUGGGCUGGGAUCCAGAAUUUAUGAAAUGUGAAACAAGGGGGACAAAUAUGGGGCCCAGAACUACACUGAGGCCGAGAAAACUAAAGAUCUACUGGCGCAGAAUUUAGUAGGUUGAAUUGCAAAAAAAAAAAAUACUAUUGCAAUUUGAUCCUGACACACAGAAUUUUACAGCCUAUUUGCAAUUGUAACUUUCGUAGGUAGAAUUGCAAAAGGACUACUGCAAUUUGCUUAUAGGGUCACAGAAAAAAAUAUGUUGUCCAGUUAAAUAGGCUUCUAAUCAUGUACUCAAGUGUUUCAGAUUUAGUACAAAGUUAGUAAAAAGUUGUACUAAACCUGAGAAACUUAUUAUGGAUCGGCGGGAGUAUUUAUGAGAACCGGAGAAAAUGUAUUUAUGGGGUAUUCAUGUGGGGUGUCACUUGCUAGAACAUAAAAAAGGGAAAAGAAGGUUCCCUCUGGUUAUUUCUCUCGAUCUGGGGAAAGAGACCACGGCUAGAAGAGAAAACAGAAGCAGAUGGUGGCUGCGGGGAAAAAGAGAGAAAGCAAAUCAACCUGAUCCUGCAUCCAAUAUACAGGGACAGAGUGGAUGAAGAAUAUGGAUGCAAAUCAACAUCAUUGCUUGUUGGUUGUAACUGGUUCAUUAUAAUUAGUUUCUCUAAAUUUAUGCAGGCCAUAAACACAUAAUCAACACCUCUUGAUUUUCUAGUGCAUCCAUAUCGGUUAGAUAACCCGCAGAUGCAGUCAACACCACAAAAAAUAGCAAGUGUUGGAGACAAGGGGAUUGGCUAUAUUUACAAUAUGCACAACAUUGGUAAUCAGGUAUAGACUUGUGCAAAACUACAUGUAUUCUAUGCAAUAAUUACUUAGAAUUUCAAUCACAUUGUGCAUUUGUACUAGCAGUUGCAAUUAUACAAAAUUUUGGAUUGCAACGUUGCAAUUUCAGAACUGGAAACAGCAAUUUUCAAUUUGUAAAACACUUGAAUUGCAUGGACUGGAGAAUGCAAUAGGUCAAAAUUUCAAAAACUUACAAAAUGUGAACCCAUGUACAGGAGGAAGUGCAAUUGCUACUUGACAGCAUAGUGCAAAGCUCGGACUGGAGAAUGCAACUUGGGUUUUCAAUCAAUUGCACUAAUGUUAUUGAACAGAAAUAACAUUGGCUUGCAUUGAAAGAAUAGUGCAAAGCUUGGACUGGAGAAUGCAACUUGGGUUUCAAUCAAUCGCGCUAAUGUUAUUGAACAGAAAAUAACAAGCAUAAACACUUCAAUUGCACACAGUAGCCAUGCUUGGGCAACUAUUGAUUAGAAGAACUGCAAUUUGAAACUUUGCUCAAUCACUGGCCAUGCUUGUUAUAAACUCUUUAAGUAUAAAUAACAAAGUUAUCUAACUUAUCCAUUAUAAUGAUUUGUUCUGUGCAGGGUAUAAACACAAAUUUGACACCUGCUGUGAAGCAAAAUCAGUUAGCCAACCCGUAGAUGCAGUCGGCAACAGGAAUUUUGCAAACGCGAUAGAACAGGUUAUCGACGGAAUUGGUAAUCUACAGGCCGCCAAUUAUUUGCAAGCUGAACAAGUAAGCAAUCACAAAAACUACAAGUUUGAUAAACAAAAGUGCUACUCCCUCCAGCCGGAAUUACUUGUCGAAAUAUUACAUGUAUCUAGACGCUUAUUAAACAUAGAUACAUUCCAUAUUUUGGAAAAUUUGAGACAAGUAAUAUGGGUCGGAGAAAGUACAUUAUUGGGCAAAGGGUUGAUCAAAAAGUGCUAAGACCUAAGAAUUGCAUGUAGAGGACAAAGUGGAAUUGCAACUUAACAAACAACAAGUUUGCAUUGAUGAGGCAGUGCAAAAACUUGGCUAGGGACUGCAAUCUACAAAAAAAACUUUGCAAAUGCAAAUCCUCGUGAUAUUCAGAGGCAAAAAAAAAAACGGCAUUGCAGACUACAAUCCUCCUGGUCAGAUCCAACAUCGCUGCCACCCAUAAAUUUCUGCACAUUGAACAUAAAUACCUUGAAUAAAAUUAAGGAGACAAAAAAAAUCCAAUUAACAAUUUAGAACACCAAGCUGUCAUGAAAACCAAAUGGUAAUUCCCAGAAAAAUGAGAUACAAGCCUUACAACCAGAAUACAUACAUGCAAGUUUAAUCACAAAAGGAACCUUGUGACAAAACUGAUAUUCCCUCCGUCCAACAAAGGAUGUCUCAACUUUGACUAAAUUUGAAUGCAUCGAUACACUAAGUCAUGUCUAGAUACAUCCAAAUUUUGACAAACUUGAGACAUUUUUUGUUGGACGGAGGGAGUACUACUAUUUAUACUAGCCAAACCCCUAUAAGCAGAAAAUAGAAAAUCAAAGGACAACCCCUUAGAUUCAGCGCACGUAAUCUUCUAAUAUGCACAAACCCUUCGAUUCAAACAUCAAAAUAGGGUGCAAACCCUUAGAUUCAAAUCUUGUGUUAGCCAACCCCUAGUACUAGAAAAUACCAAUGAAAUGAAAAUUUGCUAGAUUACAUUCGGCGGUAAGGUUCUGCCACCAUGAACUCGCCGAAAUCCGCCCACGAAGGGGAACCAAAAUCAGCCACAAAUUAACGAAUUAGUGCAGACAUUUGACACGGAAUACAGAAGCAAACCCAUGAGCAACUCACCGGACAGCCGGCCCACAGACCUUACCUCCGACGACGCACAUCAAACCCAUGUUCUCGUUUUAGAGAAACGACCCUGCGCUGCUCUCCUCCAUCCCCGGCGCCUGCCCACCCCCCUCGGUGCCCUACGCCGACCUCACCGCGCGCUCCCCGCGCUCCAGCCCCGCCGGCGAUCGCCAGCCUCCGGCUCCGGGCGACACCCACGCCGCCCUUGCCGAACUCCGCGCCACCCUCCCUCGCCGUCUGUCGCGUCCGAACCCGAAUUUUGGGUACUACAAUUUUUAGAACUACUAAUUCCGAGCUAACUCCCACGGCCCCAGUAUUACUCAUUGGCUAGUUGUGGUGGGCCGAGCCCAACAUUUUCAAAGGCCCAAGGCACAGUUGUUAUUAUUCGUCUUCCUCGGCGAGUCCUCGACUGCUCCGGUAGAGUUACAGACGAUCAUAUGCUCUCACCAGCGGCGCAUCCCUCUCCUUCCCUCCCUCCCUCUCUGCUGUCUAACCCGCUACACAAGAAACCCAGACCCGGAGGUUAUUUAAAGGGCAGGCCCCUGUACACCCCACACAAAUUCCACACAUUCCCGAUCCCGAGCACCAUCCCUCGCCAUGAUUCCACCUCCCAAGCGCCAAGUUGGCCUCCCCUCCAUAGCGAAGCCAGAAACCACGCCGCGCAUCCUCAGCAGCACCCAGCGUACCUCUCUCCUCGUCGAGCAGGUCCCUCGGCUGGAGGCCGUCGUCGCCACCGGCGGCAAGCGCGACGACAGGAUCGUCCAGGAGCUCGAUCAGGUGUGCGACGACUACGACGCCGACGCGCAGAGGGCGCUGGCGCGCUUCAGCAAGAUGGCGGCGCGAACGCGACCAGGAGUUCGACCGGCCCGACUUGGUACCUUCACGACGCCGUCGCUGACCUCCACCACCUUCCGUUCCACGGCGGCGACGACGACGACGACGAGGAGGACGAGGAGGAGGAGGAGGAGGCCGACGCCGUCGCCGACCUGCAGGAGCUUCCCUUCUUCGGCAUCGACUUCGCUGGCCAGUGAGACGUCGUCCACCGGUCCACGCGCUCUAAUCAUUGCGGUUCCACCCCCGACUCUGAUCGUCUGGACCUUUGUCUGAUUGUUUCGGUUCCGCCCCCAUACACCGUAUCGUGGCGUUGAUCGUUUCAUGACAUUUCCGCUAGGUCGUCUGCGUGAUUUGCGAUUGCAAAAGUACAUCGCGAUGAGAUUUCUCUUUCCUCUAGUCUCUAGUACAUCAUGAUGACAUUGCCCUUAUGUUGUUUCCCUUAUACUUGAUUCUUCCUCUAGCUACACACUGGCAUUUAUGCGCUUAUUCAUUUCAUGGAUUUAAGCUAGUCGCUCUUAAUUGGUCGUGUUUUUUCUGUUUAUAAUAUGUGCUUUUGUCCCUACCAAUAUAUACUACUGUUGUAUGCUGUAUAAUAUUCAGUUUGGGCGUUUAAGCUGUGAUUUAUCUUCAGAUCUGCAAUUUUAGUUUUGUUUCAUGUUUCUCCUUUUUUUGUUGCCCCCCUUGAUAUUUGACAUACUUCUCGGGCAUUACCAAGGUCAUUAAUGCAGACCAGCACGAGAAAAAUUGAUUGUGUUGGUUUGGGGGAUCUUCUUGAGUUUAUCUGACUGCGCAUUAGGUUGUCAGAUUUCAUAUUAGGUUCUCGAGUAAAUUUCAAGAAUCCACAGGUUUUGAGGUUAGGGUUUCACGGGGCACAAGUUUUGUGCUUUGCAACAGAAAACCAUAAGUUAUGAGUCUAAUUGUUUCAGAAAACCCAAAUGAUCCGGUUUUGUCAAUUUGACAGCAAAUCCAACAGGGGUGGCCCACGGCUCAGACGAACUCUUUUUUCCCCGGCCCCUCAUCCAAGUCUAUAUUUGCACCAAACAACAAAUAACAUUUUCCCCCAAAAAAACAACAACAAAUAGCAUUAAAGAAACAGAAAAUUACCUGGCUGCCUCGGUGCCUCCGUACCCGCGCGUGGCCGUGCCUCAACCGCCGCUCCCCGCUGGACGCCGCCGCUGCUUCGCGCCUCCGCCGCUCCCUGCGGGCCCCCGUUCUGCUGCGGGCCGCCGUCCUGUUGCGCGCCGCCGCCGCCCUCGUCUCCGCUCUGCUGCUCUACCCUCGCCGCUACUCUACCGCAGCGGCUCUGCCCUCGCCGACCACCGCCGCAGCUCCGCCCUCGCCGCCGCUCUGCUUCGGGGUCCGGGGUUCGUUGGACAGGGAGAUCGGGUGGCGGCAGUGGUCGGCCGGAGUCGGUGAAAAUGAAGGUGGCUCCCGGAGUCGGUGAAGACGAGGAUGGACAGAGGUGGUAGAAAGGGAUAGGGAGAGGGUCGCGAAUACAGAGAAAGAGGGGGGGCUAUGUGAAUAAAGAGAGCGUCUGAGAUGUGGGCUGCUCUUGUCGGAUUCGCUGUCAAAUUGACAAAACCGGGUUAUUUGGGUUUUCUGAAACAAUUAGGCUCAUAGCUUGUGGUUUUCUGUCGCAAAACACAAAACUUGUGCCCUCGUGAAAUCCUAGCCUCAAAAUCUGUGGUUUCUUGAAAUUUACUCUAGGUUCUUCGUGUAACUUUUAGCUUUAAGGCUGUGUGACUGUACGUAGUUGUUUCUCUAAUUACUGCGCAUUAGGUCGUCAGAUUUUUCAUAUUAGGUUCUUUUUUAUUUGAGAUGGUUGGCUGCGUUCUUGGGGUAAGGGCCUUAUGGCGUCUACGCAAGGGGAUCAAGAGAGUGGAAUACGAUUGCAUCUGCUGGGCCUGGGCUGGGUUUUAGGCCUUUUCCUUCUUGAUUAGCUAGUCCAUACACAGAGGGCAAGUAAUGAUCUGGGGAGUUCCCCCUUCUGAAAAAAAAAAGAGGGCAACUGAUGAUUUCUUUUGGAUGGACUUUCCUUUAAUCCUUUUGAUCUUAGGCCUUUGCGUAUUUGUUUUUGACGUCUUUCCAUUUAGUGGGCUGAAUUUUGUUUUUGUGUCCAUCAGUGUUUUAUUAUCAGAAGCAACAGAAUUCAGCCUGGCCUUUUUUCUUUUAUUCGACUGAACUGGGCCAUUGAGUUCAGUUGUUUUUUCAAUCUGAGUUAAUCUUCUUCCUGUUCCAGUCACUCUUUUCGUAGACAAAAAGGCACAAAAGUUACGGACCAUUUGUCUGAAUAUUAAAGAUUCCUAGCAAAAAUAAUAAAUCUAGAAGGAGCAAUGUGAUGGAAAUUGCUUUGAGCAUGCAUGGACAAUUGUAGAUCAAAUCAGGUGCCAAAUGUACAUAUAAACGCCCAUAUUGCUCUUGUGAUGGGAAUGAUGACAAUUAUAGAUCAAUCAGGUGCAAAAUGUGCAUAUAAACGUCCGUAUCACUCUUGUAAUACUUCAAAGAUUUCAAGUUUUCUCAAACAUGCAGGAAAGCGCAUGUCAUUCAAGAUUUCAAGUUCUUUUUUCUUCAAGAAAACACAUAAAUUUUCCUUCUUGGUUCUCUCUGUUCUGCCUUAAUUCGAUUUAGUAUUGAAUAUCAAAGAGAUCUAAGGGUAUACGAAGGUUGAUGGUCUGUGGUACAGGAGCGAUUGAAUUUGACAGAUACGUCGGAUAGUCAUGGCUCCAUGGAUCGCCUACACCAAUAUCAUUAGAGGGUGUGCUGCUUUGGGGUCCCUUGUAAGAAUAAUUUCUAGAGAUGUCACAUAACCAGAAUUCAUUCUGCUAGUUCUUCCAAUUUACUGCUGUGACAUCAUUGUGAUGUAUCGUGGACCACCAGCAUGCUAUGCUUAUUAAGAAACAACGAUAUGAUAUAACUGACUGAUGAGAAACUAUAUUACAUCUGCACUCUCCUCCUUUAUUCACGUCGCCAUCUUUCACAUGGAUUGGCAUUGUACUUUGCACUCAAGGUUUCACUUUCAGGUAGUUCAUGUUUGCUACUUUCUUUGUUACAUAAUUCUUGUCUAAAUAUUACAUGUAUUUAGACGCUUUCUAGGAAUAGAUACGCUCAUUUUUUGGCAAAUUUGAGACAAGAAUUAUGAAACGGAGGGGUGUAGAUUUUAACAGUACUCUAAGUUCUAUAGCAACAUCAUUCACUAGCAAACAACCUGUGCUAGCAUCCUCAUCGGUUAUGAUAAGUCCAUGCUCUUUCCCUUCCAUAACUUUUAGGAAGGUCUCAAAUACCCACUUGUAAGAUGCAAUUCUCUCAUUUACUACGAACCCGGCACAAAAAAAAACAGAUUGCAUAUGAUGAUUGACUCCGGUGGAAGGUGCAAAAAUCAUAUUGUAGUGGUUAGUGGUGUAUGUUGAAUCAAAAGAAAGCACAUCACCAAAAUGACUAUAGUUUUUCCUUGCAGUGGCAUUUGCACAAAAAUCAUGCAGCAUCAUACCAUCUUCAUCCACGUCAUAGUCAAAGUAAAAUGCUGGGUUGAGUUCCUUCAUUCUACCCAGUUGGUCCACAAACAUUUGAGCAUCAUAGUUGUUGAUUUUAUUUUUGAAUUCACAAUAGUAAUUUUGUAGAUCUCUCUUCGUGCAUCCCACAUUCUCAAAACCACCGGCACUGACAUGAAGCAAUCUAAAUGCCUGCGAAGUGCCUAUGCUUGCUUUGUGGCAUGAGUAAAGUGUGGUUUUGGCCUUCUCAUUGAGUCGACGGUUGGAUCUGAUUAGGUGAUGCUUGCUAGGUGUCACCGGUCCAUGAUUGUGGUGCUCAACAAAUGAAGCUAUCUUGUACUUGUUAUCACUGGUCUUCUUCACAAAAAUGCGAGCAUCACAUCCACAUCUAGAUUCUUUCAUCUUACGUUUUUUCUUACUUUUUUUUUGAGGGAUCGACAGUCCUCUUUCCAGUAUUCAAGGGAUGAGUAGUAUUUGUACCUUUUUCUGACUUAUAUCCUUGCCUUGCGCAUAAAAAGCGCUUCCAAAUAACUACAUCAUCUACUAGCCUCCGCUGCCCAUUACGGAUUCCGAAACCAGCAUGAUGUGCAUAUGACUUGUAAAAAGUUUCCACGGAUUCAACGUCAUCAAAUGUCAUCCCGACCACUGGCUUCAGUUCAUCAUCACACUCGGGUACGAACGUUGAACACUGGAACAACACAAAAGACAAGUUAAUUAGUAGAGCAUUGCAUAUCUAUCUUAAUUAAAAGCUAAUUAAAAUUAUUACAUGGAUUGUAGUUCAGUACAAACUCACACAUAUGGGUGUGCUUGUUUUUCUUUUGGGUGUACUGAAACCAUCGUUAUUAUUCAGUGAGGAGUCGAUAUGUGAUUGAUAAUCACCAAAAGCAUGUGCAGGCAUGGUACUGCCGUUGCUUGCUUCCAUAAUCUGCAGGGCUGUUUUGACCAUUAGCUUGUGCAGAAGGUAAAAUUCAUAAGUGAAUCAAAUCUCACGGAGCCUGGUGGAUCUAGUCUCCACAACACUGAUCUUGUGAGUUUGAAUCACUAUGCAUGCAUUGAUCAUUGUGUUGUUACCUGAGAGAGUAUCGUAGAUCGUUAAUUGAGUUCUCCUACAGAGACGGGGCAGAGACAGGGACAGAAGAUGGCAGCACAGGUUGCCGUGACGUUCAGUGGCCCUUAACCAUGCAAGAUAUGCGCAUCUCUUGCCGGCAGUGGACGCACGGACGAAACCAGCAUCUCGGGCGGGCGGGCGGCGGCGCGUCGAGCACGACCUACAAGAUCGUUUUGUUUGGGAAAGAAACGAUCAGGCUGGAGAAUAAGAUGGAGGAGAUAGACUGAGGGGGGUUUUCACAAAAGAGAAGCCUCGGUGGGAGGGGUUUUUCGCAAAGAGCAAAUUAACUGGAGGUGGGAUCUCCGCGUGAAAAUUGUAGCCACAGGCAACACAUCGGAUGGUUAACGCUAAUUUGAUUGCACGAUUGCAUUAAUGAAGUGAUUGCACAGCAAACGGCCCCCUUUAUAAAUUCCAAUUUUUUUAUUCCUUAACAAAAUCUAAAGCUUGAUCAAGAGAAGGGUAGUCCGUGUAGCCAACAACAGAGUCAGAGGUGUAAAACGUGCUCCUGUCAUACUUGUUUAGAGCUGCGUUCUUCCUGAACCGCUCCGGUAGGUCGGGGUUGGCCAAGAACAGCCGCCCGUACGCGAUCAGAUCAGCGUAACCAUUACCGACAGCCUUGUCCCCUUCUUCCCUGUCAUACCCUCCGUUCACCAUGAAAGUUCCGUCGAACGCCUCCCUGAACGGCAUCAGGCGGUGAGGGAUGAUCAGCCUGCCGUCAUUCUCGUUGACGCACAUCCGUGGCUCGAUGACGUGGCAGUAUAAGACGCCGAGCCCGUUCAUAAUGCGGAUCACGUGCAGCGCGAGGGCCUCCGGGUCGGAGUCGAUGCAGUCGACGUAGUCGGCGAAGGGCGAGAGGCGCACGCCGACGCGGCUUGGGCCAACCUCGUCGGCCACGGCGGCGAUGACCUCGGCGGCGAAGCGGCAGCGGUUCUCCAGGCUGCCGCCGUAUUCGUCGGUGCGGUCGUUGACUCCGUCCUUCAUGAACUGGUCGAUCAGGUACCCGUUGGCCGCGUGGAUCUCCACGCCAUCGAAACCUUUAAUCGCACACGAUCGAUUUACAUUGAGAGAUCAUGUACAUCAACCUGGAUGAUAGCUUGAAGAUUGUAUCGAUGAAUCGUUACCGGCUUUGAUAGCAUUUCUGGCGGCAAUUCGGAAGUCGUUCACGACGUGGGGUAUCUCCUCUGUUUCCAACCUUCGAGGGGCCGCGAACUCCAGUACAGUGCCGUCGUGGCUGACUGCAGGCUUGACUUGCUUAUCCGUGCUUGAGAUUGGUGCUCCACCGUUAGGUUGGAACUCUGUAAUUCGAUUGUAAGACGGAUGGAUUUAAUUGCCCGUGUAAUUUUUUAGAAAAGUAAUUGCCCGUGUAAUUGGCUAAAUAUAUCCUUUUGUAACUCGUAUACACAGUGUACAAAGAAAAGAAAACCGAGCUGUCAAAAAAAAGAAAAGAAAACCGAAAAAGAAGAAAGAGGGUCGGAGAGUUUGAAACAAGCGCAUCGGGUGGUACGUACCUGUGGGCGACACGCGUCCCGUGUGCCAGAUCUGACAGAAGAAGACGCCCCCCUUCGCGUGCACGGCAUCAACGACGGUCUUCCAGGCCUCGACCUGCUCCUGGCUCCAGAGGCCUGGCACGUUCGGGUAACCACGCGCCGUCUCAGACACGGCGUUGGCCUCCGCGAUGAGCAAGCCGCCCUCCGCCGCCCUCUGCGCGUAGUAGAGCACGUUGUGCGGCUGGGGGACGUUCCCGUACGACCUGCACCGCGUCAGCGGCGCCAGAACCACCCUGCGAUCGACACGCACGCAUCAACCACACCCACACAGAAAAGGUUGUAGAAACAUCGUCGGAGAUCAAGUACCGAACCGAAUUGUAAAGAUUCUACUCUACACGACCAUCCUCGAAGUAUGCAUCGAAGGAUACAUCGAAAUCGAUCGAGGGUUAUUUAGAUGGAACUGGAUGGCUAGCUAGUUAACUGACCUGUGCGCCAGGUUGAAUUCGCCCAUCCUGUAAGGCGUCAGCAGAGGAGUCAGCGGCUCCAUACUAGCUAGUUAACUUAUCUGUGUUUCCUCAGACGAUCUUCUCUACCUUGGUGCUCAAAAAUUGUCGCCGACUCGUCUCGUUUUCUUCCUGCUAGCUUAGAGUAUUUGUACUUGGCGACUACACUAGAUAGGAAUCACAGAUUCACAGGAGACGGAAUCACGUUGCGUUGCCGGACCUCCAUUCGUUCAGUUUGCAUCAAAGUGGAGCGCACUCGUGCGUACAGCUUGUAGCUUGACUUUUGUACGUGGCAGCGGUUUGGCUCUGUAGCAGUGUUGUGUUGGUUUGUUUAACCUGGACCAAUCAACGAACGGGUGAUCGAGUGGUGCCGCAAAAUCAAGAGAAUUACCGGAGAAGGAAAACGCAAGGAAAUUACCGUAUCAGGCUAUCUUUCCGUAUAUUCUGGCCUCCUUGAGCGGGCGUUCCAUCGAUCACGCGAUUCACACAAUCACACGCGCCUCGUGAGAUAUUCCCUCCUUGAGAUAUUUUUUCAGGAAAUUUCACAAUACAUCUCAUUUUUCUUUUGAUACCCGCAUCCAUAAUAACUACUCACAUUCAUUUAAGUUUAAUCUAAUAUGAGUGGUUAGGCACUAAAAACGAGAAAUGACUUGAUCCAAGUGCACAAAUCUAUAUGUGGUGUAUUUUCGAAUGAAGGAAGUAUCUCGGUCGUCAUGCUCGACUGUCCGAGAUCUCUCCCUCUCGCUAUAAGGGCAUCUUCAACAGGCUGUUACUAGAGUCAUUACUUAGCAUUCCAUGUCAUCACUUCUCUCUCCUAUCUAUCAUUUCUUUUUUCAAUUAAAAAGUAUAUUUUUAUUAGGACCCACUUGUCAUACUCCAACUUUUCUUGAUACCCGUGAGGUAACAGUCUCUUGCAGAAAUAACUAGUACCAUACUUUUUUCUACUUUCUCUCUUCCACCUAAACAAAAAUCUGACACAUGCCGCUGAGUAACGGCAGCAGAUAACUGUUGGAGAUGCCCAAAAGGACAACGCACGAACUGAUUGGUGGCCAGUUUAAUUACCUCGCGGUCGCCCUUGACCUAGCCUGUCUGCCAUGUGGUGCUCUUUUUGAGAGGAGUUGCCAUGUGGUGCUGGUUACCAGAGAUCGUGUGGAGUCAAUAAAAUAAAAGGUGAUCUCGUGAUAGAAUAAUUAAUUUGUUUUGUUCAAACGGUUAUUUUUCCGGUUGCAGACUCACGAGUCACGGACAAAUGGUGUUGCAAAGACAAGACAAUUCUCUGUUUUGCAUAUGAAUAAUUUGAUUCUGGUGCACUGGAUAACAACCAUCAAUCCCUGCCAUUGCACGGCAUAAAUUAUUAAAAAAAAGAUAUAGUUCAUAUUUAAAAAAAAUAUAGGUGAAACUGGUAGAAAAACUUAGAGUAAAUAUAAAGGAACUCUUAUGUUUGGAACUUUAGUAUCGCAAAACCAUGACCCUUGGACUUUUGAACAUUUUUUUUAGGGAAAUACAGAAGGCCAUAACACCUACUGUGGUAUUAUAUUAAUGUAAAAUGUAAAUAUAUACAUGAAAAAAGUAAAAUAAAGAAACUGAAAAGAAAGCUAUCUAAAAUCAUCUAUCCAUUGUCUGAGAGUGUGGUAGCUCUUUUUCUUGGCUUGAUGGAAGACCAAGUUAAGAUUUUCUUGCAUCUGUAAAGUGAGGGAGUGACCCCUUGGCAAAUGCUCCAAGCAACUAGGGUAGUAAUCUUCGGGUGAUAUGAGACCUUCAGCUCGUUCUUCCGUGAUGAGAUAUUUGCAUGGACUUUUGGCCAUUUACCCCCAACAUUUGUCUUAAUGUGUAAAAAAAAUCCAUAAUAUCGCCAUCCCAUGGACUAAGCUAAAUUCUGACCUGUGGCUUUAAUCAGCGACAGGCAAUAAUUUGACACUAGCUUUCUCUCCUGGCCCGCCGGUUCCCACCGGUCGUUCCGGUUCGGUCCAUCUGAGAGCAAUUGUGCAUAAAAUUUAAUGAGAUCAGUUUUGAUCCAGGACUGUAUAAGGAACCAAAAUGGGGUCAUUUGAGGGACCUUCACUACGCUCUUCGUCUAUGCAAGAAGGCGUCCUGUGGGGGAACCCGUCGAACCAGUCAUUUGGGGAAGGUUGUUGAUCAACACAAUCAACCCGUCGAACCAGUCUUGCUGUUAAAAGAACCAAAGCGGAGGAGUUCACUCUUGGCGUUCAUCCUGCUGGCCGAAAAAUGUGAAAAAGCAUACCAAAUAUCUACACCCUAUCGACUUAGGCCAUGUUUGGUGAGGUUUAAAUGUGGGUUUUGAUUUUUGUCCAAAAAUACCUAUUCAGGUGUUUUCUUCUUUACCUUUUGCUUUUGACAUGAUAUUGUACAUGUCGGUUUUAUACACAACAUAUGGUUUUUUAAGGCAAUGUUCAACUGGUAAAAAUGGUUCCCAUGAAGUUUGCACUGUAAAAUAGUUUACAGUUCUAAUCGAGUAGCAGAUAACUUCAUUUCAGAUCUGAUCCAUAUUAAAAAUAAAUAACUAAUACAAAGAUAAGAGCAAUCGACGCUGCGAAAAACAACCAACACAAGUUACUUUGACAAAGUUUGACUUAGCACAACCUCAAACUCAAACCCAAAUAUAUAGUUAUUUGGAAACCGGGGGAGUAACAUUUAAGUAGUGAGGUUGCAACAAAGCAGAGAAGAUAAAAAUCGCAUCAAACAGCAUGCUCAAAGGAAUUUCUUGUAGCUAAUUCCUCGUGCUCAUAUUUGCGCCUAGUUUCUUCAUCGACGGCCUGGACAUCAAAUUCUCCCACCAUGCCUUCACGUAAGGGUACGAGUCGAACAGAUUUGAAUAAGGCGUAGCAUCCAUGAAGUAGAAAGUACAGGCAAAAUGGUUGAAGUCUGCAAAGCUGACGAAAUCCCCGGCCAGAUAUUUGUGUUUGGACAGGUGAGUUUCGUAGAUCUCAAGGACCUUCUUUGCCUUCUCCAAGCUCUCGUCAACAACCUUUUGGUUCGUGGGAAGACCGCGCAAGGUGGGGUAUAUGAAACACUCGAGCACGAUUGGCGAGAGAGCCGGGUGGUAUUGGUGUGUUUCGACCUCUGUCCAAACGUCUACCAUGGCAGCUUCUUCCAAAUUACCCUCCCUCAGCAAGUCCAGUUGUUCGGACUUGUAUUUGCGAAGCACGUACUUGGCAAUGGCGCGUGACUCUUGAAAAGAUGAACCAAUUAUUAGGAAUAAUCAAGUAAUUAAAGAUUUCAUCGAGUAAUUUGAAGUACAUCGCGCUCACCGAAGAGGAUGACAUCCCCAUCUUGGAAAGCUGGGACCUGCCCGAAUGGCUGCACGAAGGCACCUCACAGUUUGAGUGUGCUGUUAACAUAACAACCGAGUAAUUGAUGCGACCGAAUGGAAAGGAGAGGAACUGGGACGUUUUAACAUACGUACGUUUCUGGCGAGGUGGUCAGGGCGCUUAUGGCCCUUCCCAGGGAAGUCGAUGUCGACGAGCUCGUAGUCGGCGCCUACCUCCUCCAGGCACACCAGCACCCGGGCCACGUUAGUCGAUGCGGCCGGACCGAACACCUUCACAGGCGCCAUUAAUUUCCUUGUGAGAGUGGUGGCGAUGGUGGCCAGUCGCAGCAUAUGUAGCGCGACCGACGACCGAACCGAUGAGGUGGGUAAGGUAGGAGCUAGCUGCGAAGGGAAUCCCAAUGGCUAGAUUAGCGGGGCCUGGCUAGCUAGGUGACACAUCCCAUUUUUUAUCGACACUGUACGUUUUGGACAGAGCUGACCGGUCUGGUGGGUCCUUAGGACACAGCUGUUUUUUUUUUUUAAAGGAAACAACUCACAAGCGCGACACACACUCACCCCUAUGAACGUACGCAUCCACACGUUACCCCAUGAGCACCUCCGAGAGACUGGUCCGGCAAUCAUCUUGAAAUUGACGAAAUCACCACAGACGUCUCGUAGUUGACGGGUACAUCACUCACACUGAAAGCACAACGCGGUUAUGUCCUGAAAUAAAUUCAGAGAAAUGCGAGCAUCCAUGUCAAACCUGGGUGGGCUGAUUCCACCACAAGGAACCAACGUUCGCAGGACACCACUGUUCUUGUUCCCAAUUCUGAGCCCAACAACCACGAGGAACACGAUCGACGCCGUGCCCUUCUACUUGAAGCGACCGCCCCCUUACUAGGGUUCGAUCUCUGUGCUUACUGUGCUGGUCCCUGGAUCGACUCACUAGCACACACAGUUUCAUGAUGAAAUAUACAGAAACAAAGGUCAAAAGUACUUUAUUACAUCGCAUCAUCCAGGAUUUAAAUAGUACUUACAACCUCGCAUGACCUCCUGGGCCAGCAUAAACAAAUAUUGUUUUAACAUCAUAAAACCUUGUUUCAAAAUACUGCAGCGGAAAAGGGGUAGAACAUAAGGGCCACACUACUCCAAGGUGAGAGCAUGUUGGAAUGUAAGCACAUGACCCACGACAAAACGAUGAACCUCACUCAUCGUCGGAUCCACCUGCAUUGUUAAUUGCAGCCACUACGUGGUCAAUACAUUUGAAUGUAUUGGCAAGUUCAACAGAGUUAUAAAGGACCUACCAAGUACAUGCAUAAUUUGGCUAUGUAGAGUUUGGCUGUUUGCAUGAAAGCAUCAUAGUUCAAUCCUAUCAUUUUUAAACAAAUAGUCUUUAAAUUUUAUUGGACACGGGGUAGAAACACCCAUGCUCCUAUUACCCUAGGCACAUUGAGUAGAAACAUCAAUGCUCCUACCCAGUUCAAUCCAUUCAUUUUAUUAGAAAAUGGAAUGAGUGAGACCUUUCUUAUAGCCCCAAUAUCUAGUUGCUCAUAAUUGUCCGUAACCGGGGACACGGCUAAGUACUUAGUUUGACACUCUCGAGAGGUGGUACACUUUACCCACAAGAAAUCGACGUGUUGAUCCCUUACUGUCCUCCAGAUGGAGUAGCAACGGCAUCGAUUACAGGAAUUUCCAGAACAUAAUCCCCCAGACCACCUGAGGGACGCGCCCCCACCUACACUGCUACAUACCGAUGUCACCUCGGAUCCGGGUUCAUAUUUCUUACAUCCAUCCUGGUAGAACCCAUAAUACCAUGUGGUUGUACUGGAAGCUACUAAACAGGAAACUAGUCCAGUCUCUGGUUACCCCGGGUGGCAUUCCUCAGUUGCAACGCAGGCGCUCACAUAGAAAUGGCGAGACGACUCAUAGAAAUGGACCUGACGUCGCAUACAUCUCCACUUCCUCAAAGCAGCCCACCAAGACGGUUCAUUGAAUUACUUGUUUUGCCAUACACUAGGAAAACCAUAUUGUAAUUCAAUAGUAUCACAGUGUAAUAAUACCACCCUCGUAUAUUAUCAUAGCACAGCAUUUCACUACCACGAUGGCAAUUGGUGGUGAGGUCAUGGCAAAGGUAUCCUAUACUACUAGGAGAAUCAUAGCAUAGCAUAGAUACAAUAAUAAUCCUAACAAUGCAACUAAUAAAAUCUAGUACAUAAUAAAAUAAUAGGAUGAUGGUCAAAGUGAACUUACCUUGAUAGCAGUUGGUAUUCAAGCACUCUUCGCAAUCACACAGUUCGUUCUCCGAGAAAACUAAACAAUACAAACAAUGCAUACAUAAACACACCAUACAACAAAAGAAUAUGUAUGCCAUGAUGCAAUGCAAAAACAUGUGACAUGAGUGGAUGAUUUUUAUUCGGGUGGUCUACUGGUCCAAGGCAUUAAUAAAUAAUGCACAUGUAAUUAGGGUUUUAAACAAAUUGCAAAGGCUAGAGUUUAAACCCUAAAAUGAGGUUUUAUUGGCAUCAGCCAAAUAUUUAAUUCAAAAUAUUUAUUUCUCUGUCCCAAUGGACAGAGGAUAAUAAAACAAAUUUUUGGGCACUGGUUUCAUUCAAAAAGGACUUCUAAAUAAUUAGUUAUGAUUUAAAAGGUAUAAAACCCUAUUCUGUAAUUUGAAUGUGAUUAGAAACUCAAAUUUGAAAUUGGAUGGUGCCAAAAGAUUCUACAAUUCUUAAGGAUUCCAAAAAGGUGUGGAUCAUUAAAUUUGGCCAAACAGAUUAAAAGAUAUGAUCCUUUGAAGUUACAGGGGCUUUUCUGCAAAAGUGUCAUUUCUAAUUAAUCCGGGAAUUAAAAUUAGAUUUUCAUUUUAUAACUCGUGUGCCAUGUGUCAGCAUCUAAUUGGUGCGUACCGGUUUGGUUAAAAGAUUAAAUCCGAUCUAAUCCGUACCGUUGGGAAGAAAUGGACGGCCGAGAUCGAAGAUGAAGCUCACCGGCGAGGUCUAGGGUUCCGGCGAUGGAAUCCGGCGGCGGCGCGGCUCGGGCGUGGAGGCGGGCGGCGUUCGGGUGGACUUCGUGCGUCGGGGAGGACACGGGUGCGCGCGGCGCGAUGAAACGGAGACGGUGACGCGCGCGGGGCGGCGAGACGGGGCCGGGGUUGUUGCCUAGAACGACGACGUGCGGCGGCGGCGCCAUGGGAGCUCCGGCGAGGACGAGCGGGCGGCGUCCGGUGUCUACAGUGCACAAGGCGAAGAACCAGCCGCAUCAAAAGGAAGCGCAAAGGGAGGGGAGAAAGAGGAAGUGCGCGGGGUCGCCUCAUACCUCGUGGUUUGCCGACAGUGACCUCGAAAAGGCGGCGGCGCGAGCUAGGGUUUCGGGGCAAAAAUCCGGCAGCAUGGGCGCACGAUUCGGUGGGCAACGAUGGGGGAAAGAGAGAGGGAGGGCUCGGCUAUAUAAUGACGCGCUUGGAAGGUUGCGGGGAGCACGGGAGGGGACGGAUUCCGGUGAUGACGCGCGGCGGAAUUUCGGGCGCUUGCCCAAGGUAGGGGACGACCCCGACAGGUGGGCCCCACCUGUCGGUGGCUCGGGCGCGCGCGCGGGCCGGUCCGGUGCGGCGCGGUCGGUUCUGGGCCGGUUCGGCCCAAGCGGUCGGACCGGUCCAGUUUUCCCUUUUUUUUCUUUUCUUUUUCCCUUUUUCUCAUUUGUUUGAUAACUUUUGAUUUUGAACUCCAAAUUGGCCCAAAUAAAUUUCAGAAAAUUUCUAAAAUCAUGUUCUAUCAUGAUACAACUUUUGGGAGUGAUUUCCCCUCAAAAUAAAAUAUAUAAGAAUACAUUUGCCCUAUAAAUGCCUUUAGGGCUAUAUAACUAUUUAAAUAAAAUAGUUUUUCAACUCCAAAAUUAUCCAAAAAUUAUGGGAUAGCUUAUAUAUGCAAUAAACCCCUUUUUAUAAAUAAACCCUAUUGGUUUGAAGAUUCAAAGUUCAAAUGGGUGUAAACCCUAGGGUUUAAAUUGAAACAAAGUCUUUUAAAGCCUUUUGAGAUUCAAAUUUGAAUUCAAAUAUGCAAUUGUGGCAUGAUGCUCAUGGAUGCAAUGCAUAUGUAAAAGUUUGAAAUUUUGGGAUAUUACACUACUGGGCAAAGGUGUGAUCGCCUGGUGAGUCAAUGGAGCGGCCGAUGAGAUGCAACCUCUUGUUCUCCGCGUGAUCACAACACAAAACUUCACGAGCAAAUUAAUUACGUAUCCAGAUUGUAUUAGUAUGCGGCCUAAUUGCAGCGUACCUGCAAUUCUGCCACAUGUUUAUUACAGCACGUACCCAAAAUUACCGUGCAAAGCAAACUAGUAAGUACAAAAUAGAUGAUGUGACUAAACCAUUUUAGGCAGGUUUGCACUAAGCUUUCUCGUCGAAGGUCUCGACAUGAGGUUUUUCCACCAUGCUUUCACGCAAGGGAAAGAGUCAAACAGUGAUGCAUAUGGAGUUCCCAUGAAGCAGCAAGUGAAGGCGAAAUGGUUAAGGUCUGCAAAGCUAAUGAAGUUCCCAGCAAGAUACUUGUGUUUGGACAGACGCGCCUCGUAAACGUCGAGCACCUUCUUCAGCUUCUCCAUGCUCUCAUCCACGACCUUUUGGUUGGUCGGUAUACCGUAUGCUGUGGGAUAUAUGAUGCACUCAUACACAAUAGGUGCGAGUGCUUUGUUGUACUGAUUUGCCUGGACCUCAGUCCAGACGUCCACCAUUGCUGCUUCUCCUGGGUUGCUUUCUCUGAGCAUGUCAACUUCGUCUGUCCUGUAUUUGCGAAGUAUGUACUUUCCAAUAGCACGGGACUCUGCAGAAACAAAAACAAAUCCGACGAGCACGUAACAGGUAAGCAUGACGAGACACCAAAACAGAGUUUUGGUACAAAAUUCAAGUAAUUAUUCUUUUGCAAGAAAAUGAAGAAUUUGGACAAUCAGAACAUGUUAUGAAAAUCACAAGUCAUACCAUAAAUCCUGUAUGUGAAAGGUUUGUUUGAUGCAUUCUUUACCGAUAGCAUGUAAUGAGCAAACGUGUGAUCUUGUUUUCCUAAUAGAAAAUAUGUACGAGUAGAAACCUGGCCUUUUGCUUUGACACUGCACCUUGUUUUUCAGAAAAUAAUUUUCAUGUAAUGUUUCACUAUCAUACAAAUCGAGGUAUUCAUGAGUCCAUGCAUAGGCGGGGCUUAUCCUCAUUUUCGAAGAAAAAACAGAGCGAGGUAUUUCACUAGAAACUUGAAUCAAAUCCGUACACGGCAGGGAGUUUAGAUUUACCGAAGAGCAUGAGGUCUCCAUCUUGGAAAGCAGGGAUUUCUCCAAAUGGCUGCAAGAGCGUAUCAGCACGAAUUAAUCAACAGCACCAAAGCUUAAAUGGCUUCCAAAUUUUGCACAAAAUCCUUACGUUCCUGGCGAGGUGCUCAGGUUUCUUCUGUUCCUUGGCAAGGAAGUCGAUGUCUACGACCUCGUACUCGACACCAACCUCCUCGAGGCAUACCAGCACACGCGCCACGUUCGUGAACCCGGCCGAACCGAACACCUUCACCGGCGCCAUACUUAAGUUGACAGUAUGCUGAGGUGUGCAGUCCUUAGGGAUGGCAAUGGCAUAUUUAUAGGAGGAGCUUUGCUGCUGAAAUGUCUCCCCAUACGAGUGAGGGCAUUUUUAAUUUCCCAGCAGUCCAGCUUUAGUAGGAAGCACCUUUUGUUUUUUGGUAAUUAACCUUGAAGCUGAAGUUGAUGGUUGUUGUAAACUCUUCUUGCUUUCUUUAUAUUUAUUUUUUGACAAGGUGUGAGACUGAUUCUCCUGAUCUUUUCUUAAAGAAGAAUUUUUGUAAACGUUGUCUAAUGGAAAUGAGACUGAUUCCCGAUUCAACAACUUUAAUGUUGUUUCUUUUGACACAAUAAUGAGAUUAAACAAAUACACACUGAUGCACUACCGGUCCCAAGUGAGGCGUUUACAGGCGUCAGCUGUGAGGUACUUGCACGAGAGACGAGAUCAUUUGUGGUGUAAUCUGUCAGAGAAUUACAAAUUAAUCUAGAGAGAUACUGCCUCCGUCCCAUAAUUCUUCUCAUGGUUUCAUUAGUUCAAAUUUGAACUAAAACCACCACAAGAAUUAUGAGACUUUUAUCUCAUAAACUAUGCAUAAACUAGAUCCAUGAAAAUUCUCUCGUUUCAAAAUUUUUCUUGUGGUUUUAUUAGUUCAAAUUCUCUCGUUUGAAAAUUUUAAAUUUUUAUCUCAUAAACUAUGCAUCCGAUUGACGAUCCGUUUUCACCGUAAGCUUAACCGCCAAGAUCUACAAAACUAGAUCCCAGGUUGAUAUGUUUUGACGAAUGUUUUCGUCAGAAGUUACAAGGUUACGAUCAAUUAUUUACCAUAUUGUGACCACGUGGUUGCCACAUUAAAUAUCACUUGUUUACCGAAAUAUAUUUACUUGUUUAUCAGUUUGCUUACUAUCAAUUUGCAACUACGUAAAGACUUGGAUCAUUAUACUUCUAUGAUAUGAUGACAUCUUUUACAUAUUCAAACACUUAAAUAUUCACUCUUGAGCUUGCAAGGCAUUGCAAUGUCUAAAACAUUUUUCUAAUUGGUAACCCUAUAUUAGUAAAGACUAUUAAUGAAGUGAUUAUUAAUAUGGUAAACGUUCACAAGUCACAUGGUAAUCAUGAGUGGUGUCAAGAAAAUAUCAUCAAAAUAUAUAUAAAAAAUGUGGUCUUGUUUUGAAGCACUCAUCGUGACGAACUCAACCGUGAAAACGGAUCUUUAAUCGGAUUAAUGGUUUAGAAGAUAGAUCAUUCUGUAAAUUCAAAAUUUAGUAUUCCUCUGAUCCUAAAUUCUUGACUCAAAUUUGCCCAAAUAUGGAUGUAUCUAUUCUUAAAAAGCGUCUAGAUACAUGUAAUAUAAAGACAACAAUUUAGGAUCGGAGAGAGUACUAAAUUAUUUUAGGCCCAGACCCACUAGAAUCCUCCCUAAGGAAAGGUUAGCCUCGCACGUCUUUUAAUUAGAUUAACCGUUCAUUCAUUUGAUUCAAAGGAAUAAUGGGAAGGAAAAAGUCAUGUGAUCUUAGAUUCAGUGAAAAAAAUACUGAGUGUUUACAAUCCACGUAGACCUCUUUUUUGAAUUUCUUCACAUGAAAAACAAGAAAACGUGUUUAGUGAAGUAAUUAUAUGAAAUUUAUUUUUGCAUGUGAUUUGACUUAAUUUUACCAUGUUUAUCAAGAUUAAAUUUUUUUCCUUUAUACUUAUGUGAAUAAAAUGUACGUUCCUCUAUUAUUCAUGUGUUUUCAAAAUCCUGUGAAUCAAAGAGACCCAUAGAAAAAAUUAAGCGUGACAAUGAGUUCCUUCGUGGUACCCUACCUUGGAGGUUUGACACAUCCUUGAUCACUCCAUGAUGCGCAAUUGCUCUACCAUGAGGACAAAUGUUACUUCUUCUGAUCCUAAAUUGUUGUCGAAAUAUUGCAUGUAUCUAGUAGCCUUUUUAAGAGUAGAUACAUCCAUAUUUGGACAAAUUUGAGACAAGAAUUUAGGAUCGGAGGGAGUAACCAUUUUUGUUCUUGGGUAGUUAAGGUCCUGGUCCUUUGGUGGCAAUUAUGGAAUGGUUCGCACUUGGUAUAAUCUAAUUUUCAUGGCAUUUAGGAAGGCGAGGGAGAAAGUAAUAGACAUCAUGCUUCUAAAUAUAGUACUACAUGGUUCUUGCAUUUUAGAGACCGGAAAACCUCCAAAGACAAAACCACAUGGUUCUUGCAUUGAAGAAGAUAAGGGAGGGAGAGAGAGAAAGAGACCAAAGCAUCUCCUCGAAAAAAACCUAGAACACUGCACAUCUAGAACAAACAAACCCAUCUCGUCUUUAUUGAAAAGCCACAUGAACAAAGCACUACUCCGUAUUAAAACACAACCUAGUUUAAAAAACCGGACCAUUCGUAAAUUAUUACGCACCAGACGGGAACCGAACUGGAGACUUCCCUAUAGAGAACUCCGCAGGCCCAGAUCUGACAACUCCGCACGUAACUCCUCCCUCGCCGCCGCCGGCGAUGGCGACAGCGACGGGGCCCUGGCUGGCAGUCACGUAAACCGAGUGGCGGCCGCAGCGACCGGCCACUUGCCACGUCUGCGGCAGCGGAGAGCUGCUCUGGCCGCGCGGUGGUGUCCGCUGUCAUGGCGAGACGUCGGUUUGCGGCGCGACUUCCAAACGGCGGCACGGACGAGAUCUGGGUGGUAGUCCUUCUCGGGGCGGCCGUGCGGUCCUUGGAGGCGGCGGCCCGUCGGCCCUGGCCGCGUUUGCGGUGGCGGCGGGCUGCUUUGGCCACGCGGUGCGGUGGCCUGCCAAGUCGCGGCGUCGGACGACGGGGCUGGCGGUCCAGGGGCGGCGGCGGCGGCCGUGCUUUGUUGCGUCUUGCGUUCCUCCAUCAGAUCGUUUUGUCGGCACUUUGUCUGCUUUGUUGAUGUUGUGGUGUCGGUGAUGCGGGUUUGGUACCGAGGGAAACUCUUGGUCGGCUUGCCCGACCACGACAGUGGUGACGUCCUUAGGGGACGUCAUUCUCCUUACAUGAGGCAUUGUCAAGGUAUUCCGACACCACCCCCGCUCCAGGUUCCCGAGUGAAAACCCAAAGUCUCCGGACUGGGCGGCGGCGCUUGCGGUGUCGCUCUCCCCCUUGUGUGCGCCGUUGGGGAACACUAGAUCUGCUGGUGCGGGGUUCUUAGUCGGCGGGUGCUCUUUUGCCGGUCGAGCUCUGGUUUGCGUCGUCGUUGCCAUGCCUAGCAAGUUUAGUGCGACAUUCUCUAUCCUGAAGAUGGGUCAGUGGAACACGGUGGCGGCUGAUUCUAAAGCGUGAGCAUACGACACAUGCUGGGAAUUAGUUUGAUCGGUUGUGCCUUCGUGGCCUCCGAAUUUAGAUGUUGGGUGAUGGUGUGCGGUUAGGGCACGGCCCGGAUAUUCGCUACACCUUUUAUCUGGUUAGUAGGUAUAGCGACGAAGAUGUAACUUCGACAAUGUCCAUAUUAGGUAUACUCGAGUCGAGUACGUGGUUAGUCAUAACACGUCAGUAGCCCCCAAGUGCCUGGUUGAAUCGAAGACUCGACUAGGGACUUUUCCCGUAAAGAAUGAGCUUAUUCUGCUGUUGAGCCAGUUGCAUAGUGCUGUAGACUUUGGUACUUUACCGACUCGUACUUUGAAUGAGAAUUAUUUUGACUCAGAAAAUUUCUGAGGUGAUACUUUAGUGUUUAACUGUUAAAUAUGAUCUGAUAGUGGAUCAAUGCGGUGAUUAGGAGUCAUAGGGAUAUAUGCUUAAUGCGCCCAGAUACUCGAGAAGUCGAGUCUAGUUAAUCGCUCUAGAGCGAAUACAACACUAGCUUUUCAUUCGCAUUCGAGUUCCCGGGCUCGAACCUGGCGACUGGAGAAUUUUGACUUAGCCUGCUGGGGUCUUAUAGAGUCAAAUUCCAGUUUUUAAGUACUCGACUCGUUCGUCAAGAUUGCUUGAACUGGAAAUACGCAGCUGGUACGUUUACAGUCCCUAUAAGAAGCCUACGUGUCUUAUCUUCAUGUAAUGAACAUGGUUGCAGGGAGCGACCCUUAAGUGAAAGUUGUUACCUUCAUACAAUAAGUAUGGAUUUGACUUGAAAUAACGUAGCUGCUAUGUUUCCAGGCCCGUAAGAGAACUUUUGGGUCUUAUCUUUAUGCAAUGAGCAUGGAUCUACUGAAAUACGCAGCUGGUACGAUUUCAGGCUCUUUGGACGAGACUCAAGAGGCUUACUGUUAUGCGAAUGAGCAUAAAUAACUGAGGUGCCGUAGCUGGUGCGACUCAAUUGAGUCGAUUAUAUGAAAUCGACUGUCUUCUGCCAGGGUCAUUACCCUGUUUUUACUUUUGUGAAUAAAGAAUAAACAAUAGAUGACUAUAUGAAGUCUUUAAUAUAAAGCGACAACUGAUUAAUUCGCGACUUGAAUGAGAGUCUUUAGUAUUCAUAAUCGAGACUCAAGACGAGUCCCAACAUUCUUAUGAUACAACUCCACCUCCCUAUAUGGGAGAUAUGAGAGAUAGCUUUUGAGUCAUGAUAUUUGAGUCAGACUCCGUCACUGAUGACGUACCUGUUGAAGGUGAAGAGCCAUUGGGUCAACAGAUGUGACCGGGUGCACAGUCUAGCCUGACAGCUAGGUGUACUGUUGGCGUGCGUCAAUGGGAAAACGGUCACACUUCACGCAGUAAAUAUGGCAUAAUGAUUUUAUGAAUUCCUGCGCCCGAAAGAGGGGUGGCCGUUUCUGUUUUCACCGCUUCACAUCCCGGUCGAUGUGGGACACGUGGCCAAGAUAAAGAUCUUGCGGCCCGGAUUCUUCGGCCGGAUUUAGCCUAUAAAAGGAGGAAGGUGAAAAGGGAAUGCCUUUUACCCUUCUUCUUCCUCGCGAAAUCAGCUCAGGCGCUAGAGCUCUCUGCUUCCAUAGCCCAAAAACUGUUGCGAGUUCCUUCAACGACCAAGAAUCCCACACCAUCCAGAGAUGGGCAAGACCAAGACCGCGGGUUCUAAGACCGAUGCCGGCAAAAGAGAUGCCGGAAGGGAGUCGUUCCCUGGCCCGUGGUGGCCGACAAUCGCAUCAAGAUCCUGGAACUCCAGGACGUGGGAUUGUUGCCGGGGGGGGGGGGGGGGCUGAUGAGGUUCGCUUCCGGGCAAAGGAGGAGUACCCGCUACCGUUGCUAGGUGAGCGGGUUGUCUUCCUCGAUUAUGUGCUGCGAGGGCUCUCUUUUCCCCUUCAUGCCUUUUUCCAUGCUAUGCUGCUAGCCUAUGGGCUGCAGCUUCACAAUCUGCCCCCCAAUUCUUAUUUGCAUGUUGCGUGCUUCAUCACACUGUGCGAAUGCUUCUUGGGGGUGAGCCCUCAUUGGGGGCACUAGAAGCGGAUCUUUAUGAUCAAAAGCUAGAAGGUGGAGGCCGUUGGGAGCGUCAACUUCCAGGUACGGCCCGACACCAAAUACUUCUCCCUCCAGCAGCGCGAAUCUGUGCAAGGCUGGAGGUUGAAGUGGUUCUACAUCCGAUCUGACGCCCCGGGUGCCGAUCCAAGUCUUCUUGCCUUCUCAAUCAAGAAGAAGAAAAAGAAGACGGCGGCAUGGAGCCACGAACUGACGCCUGCAGAGGAGUCUGAGGCGACUCCCUUGAUGGCUAAGAUGCACUUCCUUAUGGGACAGGGGUUGACAGGUGUUCACCUGAUAGCUCUGUUCCUCAGGAUGAGGAUCCAGCCGCUGCAAGCUCGUGUUCACCCGAUGUGGUCCUUCGAAGGACCCGGGGAUCCCACUCGGGUGAAUGCGGAAGAACUAUAUUUGAACGAACUGGAGUCGCGGGUGCAAAGGUUAACGACCCUGAUCGACGUGACUCCAGGCAAGAUUGACUCGCGAGUAGUCGCUUUUGGCCCUGACAGGCCGAGGGAAAAGGUAAUUUAUAUUUCUGCCAUUUUGAGCUUGUAUUUGUAAGCUACUGAUCCGCUUGCUGGUUGUAGGGAUUCGAAGAUCCCUUGAGUCAACCUCCUCCUGCAUGGGAGGAGGAGCUGGCCGAUGAGUCCUCGGAGUCGCCGGAGCAGGCGAGCCACUCCGAGACUGAAGAGGUUGCCCUGGAGACGAGGAGGAAGCGCAGCAGGGAGUCAAACCCCAAGUCUGAUGAUCAGUCGACGGGUGUCGAGGGUCCCUCAUCUCCUCCUCUUGCAGCCAAAAAGACCAAGACAGGCGGCCCAGCGCCUUUUCGCCGAUUUGGCCUUCUUGGCCGAGUCACCCAGGCCAGGUAGGUGGUUCUUCAUACAUCAGCUCUCCAAAUAGUGCAAUCUAAAUACUGAACUAGCUGUUUUCCUUUGCCAGCUCUGUGGCCUCAGGUGACCAACCAACGACCCAGGCUAUUGAGCCCACUGGGUCGGACCCGAAAACUUCGGGUCCCUCAAUCGUCGUCGAGACGUUUGAGCCUCAGGUAUCGAUGCCUGAGGCGCCUUCUCCACUGAGUGUGGAGCAUCAACCCCAAAGGUUGUCCCGCUAGUUGACACACUUGGAGAGGCAUGGAGCCGGAACGGUUUCCUCGACUUCGGCUUGUCAUGUAAGUCUUGAGUCCUUUUGUCAAGUAAACUUCUUUUGUUAAAAUUUUUACUCUCCCGGUGGGAUUAUGAGUCAGAUGCUGACGUAAUCACUGUCGCAGCCGAUCAUCCGCUCCAUAACGGAGUUUGUUGAUCGCUAUGAUGCGGUGACGGCUGAGCGAGAUCAGCUUCGCCAAGACUUGGAGCGAAGCCAGCAAGAGCUGAGGUCUGCUCAAGGUAAUGCUUCCAGCUUAGUCUUUCUUUGAGUUGAAAAACUAUUGUGUCUUACUGUUUUGUCGUCUAGAUCUCCUUUCUCAGGCUAACUCCCUCAAAGACGCCGCCGAGCUUCAAUCCAAGAGCUUAGAGAAGAAGCUUGCUGAUCUGGCCAGGGAGUCGAAAGAGAAGCUAGAGGCUGAAAAACGCCUUGCCUAAGAAGCUUCGGGCGCCCUUCUCGCCAAGGAGGCCGAGAAGGAGAAGACGAGAUUCGUCCGACUCCAAGGAGUCAUUGGUCCCCUCACAGGUAAGAAUAUCGUAGUUGAAUCCACUCAUUUGGAUAUAUUGUUAACGCUUUGGCUCUUUUGCAGGCCUGGUUUCCUUGUCUGGUCUCCUACCUUCGAGUGAAAGUUCACUCGACCGGGUGAUUGACGCUGCGGCACGCGUCUGCUUUGGAGCGGCGACUGGAGUCCAGGGAACCUCCCGGGUGCUCACCAGUUUGUUCGGGAAGAUGUUUCUUGACGAGCCGGUGCCUGAAUCGCUAGGGAAACUCGUAGAGUUUUUCAGCGCUGACCUGGAUCCUAUGGACGAGUUUAGCCGGGUUCAGACCAACUCCGGUGCGGAGUCGACGUUCGUGUUAGCGUUAGCACACGGUGUCGGCGAGGACGUGUUGCGGAAGGUGGCUUUGGGCGUUCCCUUGUUACCUAGAGGGGAGGAGGUAGCUUUGACACCUUACUUCCAGCUCAGGGAAGAGCUGGCGGCCCAGCUGUCGGCUCAGCUGGGGAGCAUGGCAUCUAAGGGAGAGGUGGCUCUGCCAUCGUCCACUCCUGCGCCGAGCCAGGAGGUGGGCCAAGCUUGAGGCAUAGACUUCUUUAGGCUUUCUCCUGUCCUCUAUGUAUUUUCCCCCCUUUUUUUGUAUCGUUUUUGCUCGAAUGUCAGCAUUAUCAAUAAAGAAACAUCCUUGUUCCUUUGCACUGAUAUGAGUCGGACUCCUUCCUUUUAGUUAAGACUCGUGUCUUUGAAUCAUUUCAGGGACUGAAAAGGGGGUAUUUCUCUUCUGCAGCGGUAGAAACAGACCCCGACUUUGACAGUCGAGGUAGACACAGAGAGGGUUGUGACACCUAAGUCGAAUAUCGUGAGAGCCACGUUCUCGGCUUAGAUGCUCCCUUCAAAAACCUCGGAGUCGACAGCUCCAAAGGAGGUUCCUUCCCUGAAAUGAUUCAAAGACAAGACUCGAAGGGAACUAGAGUUCCUUCGUCGAUGCCUCCAAGAAGCCGAAAACCCGAGCCAAAAACUUGGCGAUGGAGAGUCGGAGAGCCGCGAGCGAGUUUCAGAUUACCAAGACCAAGUUGAAAGCGGCUGCCGCACGGGAAGAGUUUAUCUUCGAGGAGCUUCGCGGGCUGAGUUCUCAGCUUCAAUGUGACCCACUGCCUCCUUUUUGCUUGGAUCUUCUUCUUUUCGGCUUAUCCUUUACAAACAAGAGUUGUUUGCAGAUGUGCAAGCCGACCCGUGAGCUAAGCAAAAUCGGGUAAACAGUGCCCCGAACGCUCGUCAGACGAUCGAUCAUCAUUCUGGUCUGACCGAGCGAGGGUCAUGAGCUGAUGCUUUUGUGAGACCACAUAGAUAAGAAUAAAAGCUUCUUCAACUCCCACUUAGAGACUUUGAAGGCAAUUCAUCAGGCAUUCUGGCCCUUGGAGGAGGUGCCCCAAGAGCUGAGCAAGCUGACCCGAAAGCUUGGGUAAGAUAGCGUCUUUCGGGAGCUGAUGUACCGUCAGCUGGUCCGGGGGGCGAAGAUACUGUUAGAAAGGAAGUUCGACCCGUUGUCGGUGAUAAUGUUGUGAGGUACUCCAAAGCGGAAUACGAUGGAGUGAACGAAUGCGAUGGCAGUCAUUCCCGUGGCGUUUGUGAUGGGCAUUGACACUAUCCAUUUGGUGAACUUGUUGAUUGCGACAAGCAGAAAAGUAUGACCCCCUUCUUUUGAUCGUUGAAGUGGCCCGACCAUGUCGAGUCCCCAUUGAGCGAAAGGCCAAGCCAAUGGUAUUGUUUUGAGUUUGGAAGCCAGGCCAUGCGGCUUAGUUGCGAACAUCUGGCAGGCCACGCAUCGGGUGAUGAUGUCGUCGGCGUCCUGCAUCGCUGUCGGCCAGUAGAAGCCGGCUCGAAAAGGCUUUGCCGCAAUAGUGCGGCUGCUUGCAUGGUGACCGCAUGUGCCCUGGUGUAUGUCGAUCAAAAUCUCCCAUCCUUCCUCAGGUGGAAUGCACCGUUGAGGGACGCUGGAGAUGCUUCGCUUGUAGAGCUCACCUUCAAUGACGAUAAAAGCUUUAGACCGUCUAGCAAUUUGACGUGCUUCUGCGACGUCUGCAGGUAGCUCUUGUCGUAUCAUGUAUACAAGAAAGGGUUGCAUCCACGGCUCGACCAUGAGCACCUCAUCGGGUUCUUCUUCACCGGUUGCGACUGCAGGGUCGUCCGGUGAGUCAGGGUCGAGAGGUUUUUGCUCACCGUCGAUUAGUGUUGACUUCUUGGGACUCGAAGUAUUCUUUUCUUUGAUGGAUCUCUGGUGCAUGAUCUCUAGGAAUACUCCAGACGGGAUUGGGGAACGAGUCGAGCCGAUGUUGGCCAAACUGUCCGCUUCGUCAUUGCUGUUUCGGCCAAUGUGAUGCAGCUUGCAUCCGUCGAACUGGCCUUCCAGUACGUUGUAGAGAUCGCGAUAAACAAUCAUGGAAUCGGAGAUGGUGUCACACGACUUCAUCUGUUGCUGAACGACGAGGUAUGAGUCGUCGUAUCAUGAGCCUUGUGGCCCCGCAAGCUUUGGCCAUGCGCAUGACAUGCAAGAGGGCCUCGUACUCGGCUUCAUUGUUUGAAGGGUUUUGAAAAUGCAUCUGAAGCACGUAGCGGAGUCUAUCACCUUUGGGUGAAAUAAGCACAACACCCGUGCCUGCACCUUCAUGUCGCUUUGACCCAUCGAAAUACAUCGUCCAUGAGCUUGACAUGUCGGGCAGGCUCGGAGUCUGAGCCUCUGUCCACUCGGCAAUGAAGUCAGAGAGCACUUGUGAUUUGAUCAACUUCUGUCGUUCGUAGGUUAUGUUGCGAGCUGAGAGCUCGAUUCCCCACUUGGUGACUCGUCCCGUCGCUUCAGAGUUGUUCAAUAUGUUGACGAGAGGAGCCUCGCUGACAACCACAACUGUGUGUUGCUGGAAAUAGUGUCUUAACUUGCGUGCUGUUAGAAAGACUCCAUACGCAAGCUUUUGAUAGUGUGGGUAGCGUUGCUUUGUAGGCGAGGGGACCUCACUGAUGUAAUAGACUGGACGCUGAACACCGUGGGUCUUACCAUCUUCGGCUCGCUCAACUACAAUCGUUGUGCUGACCACCUGAGUGAUGGCUACGAUGUAUAAUAGGAGCUGCUCAUCUUCUUGUGGGGCGACGAGGAUCGGCGAGGUUGACAAUAGGUGCUUCAAGUUUGCGAAAGUAGCACUGGCCUCUGGCGUCCACGCGAAGUCGUCUUUCUUCUUUUUCAGAAGCUAGUAGAAAGGCAAGGCUUUCUCACCUAGCCUACCGAUGAAUCGGCUCAGGGCCGCGAGUCGACCGGUGAGCUGCUGGAGCUCAUGAAUUUUAGUCAGCUCCUUUAUGGUUAGGAUGGCUCUGAUUUUUGUCGGGUUUGCCUCAAUGCCUCGAGCCGACAGAAAGUGUCCAAGGAUUUUCCUGGCAGGUACUCCGAAGGUGCAGACGUGGCCUGCUGGCGCUGGAUACGACUCGACAGCAGCAAGUGUUUGCUCCGAAGAGUGGUUCAUUACCUCGACCAAGUUAGCCUGUAGUACGUGGGCCGAUGAGACUCCAAUGGCCGGACUCGCCGGUGUCGUCAUGACGGCCCUAUUGCUGGGGUAAUGAGGAUAACUCAUUUGUGAGUUUGUUUGUUGUGCUCUGGUGAGCUCGAGGUGUAACUCUUUGAAUCGUCUGCACUCCCGCAGGGGAUGGCUAGGGUUGAUGUUGCCCUGUUCAUCUUUGUAAACAUGGAAUGGGCAAGAGGCCAUCAACUGCUGAGAGAGCGUAGGUUGGCCUCCGUUGCAUCGCCACUGAGGCUUAGGCUCGCGGAUUUCGCCGCUGCGGUAACCCUCCACGUGCGAAGUGGCUGCGAUGAGAUCAGGCGAGGCUAGUUCUUCGUGUGUAGAAUAAUAGUUUUUGGUAUACUGUGUGCUAAGUAUUCUUUUCCUAUCAAUGAACUUUUCAUAAAAGAAUUCUCAUAAUAAAAUAUGAGAAUUCUUUUAUGAAAAGUGAAGUAUUCUUGCAAUAGGAUUUAAAACUUCCACCUAUCUUAUCCAAAAUCAUUGCUUUAAGGUUGGUAAAUCCUAUUAAUAAGAGCAUAAAAGCUUUCAUUCUAUAAAUUUGUCUAAAAUAAAAAAGGGUUUCUAUUUAAUCAUGAAAUUAAAAUGCAUAAAUAGAAAAGAGUUUUUGGAUUUUCUCCAUUGUAUCAAAAGAAUUUAAAAAAUGGAAACGAGAAACUAAUUAAAAAAAAAUUUCUUCUAUAUUCCAACUUAGAAAAAAGGAGUUCCAACUCUUUCAAGCAGUGUUUCUAUUAGGCAAAGCAAGAGUUUAUUGUAAAAAAAAUCGCAAUGAUACUACCAAACGAAGUCUAUUUAAAUGAAGACUCUAAUGUUCCUAAAUUUUAUGGACUUUCCCAAUCUGGACGGUUCGUGAGAUAAUAACUAUUAUUCUUUUAAGUUACCUAUUAUUUGAAGUUAGCCGCCAUGGUGAAAUUGGUAGACACGCUGCUCUUAGGAAGCAGUGCUCAAGCAUCUCGGUUCGAAUCCGAGUGGCGGCAUUCUCGAAAAAGAAUACAAUAGAUUAUAAAAUGGAUUCAAUUCGAAAUUUACAAUUUUGUAAUGGGACCUUCCCCUUAUGCUAUUUGCAACUUUAGAACAUAUACUAACUCAUAUUUCUUUCUCAACCAUUUCAAUUGUGAUUACGAUUCAUUUGAGAGCCUUAUUAGUUCGUGAACUUGGGGGAUUACGCGAUUCGUCAGAAAAAGGAAUGAUAGCUACUUUUUUCUCUAUAACAGGAUUCCUAGUUUCUCGUUGGCUUUCUUCGGGACAUUUUCCAUUAAGUAAUUUAUAUGAGUCAUUGAUCUUCCUUUCCUGGGCUCUGUAUAUUCUUCAUACGAUUCCUAAGGUACAGAACUCUAAAAAUGAUUUAAGCACAAUAACUACGCCAAGUACUAUUUUAACGCAAGGCUUUGCCACGUCAGGUCUUUUAACUGAAAUGCAUCAAUCCACAAUACUAGUACCCGCUCUACAAUCUCAGUGGUUAAUGAUGCAUGUCAGUAUGAUGUUACUAAGCUAUGCAACUCUUUUGUGUGGAUCUUUAUUAUCUGCCGCUAUUCUAAUCAUUAGAUUUCGAAAUAAUUUCAAUUUUUUUUCUAAAAAGAAUAAAAAUGUUUUAAAAAAAACAUUUUUAUUUAGUAAGAUGGAAUAUUUCUAUGCAAAAAGAAGUUAUUUUAAAAGCGCCUCUGUUCCUUCAUUUCCAAAUUAUUACAAAUAUCAAUUAACUGAGCGUUUGGAUUCUUGGAGUUAUCGUGUGAUUAGCCUAGGAUUUACCCUUUUAACCAUAGGUAUUCUUUGUGGAGCAGUAUGGGCCAAUGAGGCGUGGGGAUCCUAUUGGAAUUGGGAUCCUAAAGAAACUUGGGCUUUUAUUACUUGGACCAUAUUCGCAAUUUAUUUACAUAGUAGAACAAAUCAAAAUUGGAAGGGUACGAAUUCCGCACUUGUAGCUUCGAUAGGAUUCCUUAUAAUUUGGAUCUGCUAUUUCGGUAUCAAUCUAUUAGGAAUAGGUUUACAUAGUUAUGGUUCGUUUACAUUAACACCUAAUUGAUUACAUAAAAUAAAACCUUCAUUUCAUUAAGGUUUUUACUUUUUCGUUUUAUUUGAGAACCCCUUGAGCGCCUUCUCAAAGGGUUCUCAAAAAUGCGAGAUAGAUCUAAUUAGACUUUUUUAUUUUUUUUUCUCCAUUAAUAGAGCGGGCUAGUUAAAAAAACCUAUUUAGGGUAAUAAUUGGAUAAGAGAGCCUCCACCCUGUCAACGGAUAGGGAGAGAACAAAAUCUGGAUAAAUACCAAUUCCUAUUACUGGUAAAAAGAUACAGAUUAAAAGAAAGAGUUCUCGUGGUCCAGAAUCCAUAAAAUUUGCGUUUGGAACAUUAAAUAGUUUGUAUCCAUAGAACAUCUGGCGUAACAUAGAUAAUAAAUAAAUAGGAGUUAAUAUCAUUCCAAUUGCCAUUACAAAAGUAAUUAGCGUUUUUGGCAUUAACAGAAAUUUUGGACUAGUAAUUAGUCCAAAAAAUACUAAUAAUUCUGCGACAAAACCGCUCAUUCCUGGUAAUGCAAGAGAAGCCAUUGAAAAGCUACUAAACAUGGUAAAAAAUUUCGGUAUUAGAAUAGAUAUCCCCCCCAGUUCUUCGAGAUAAACAAGACGCAUUCUAUCACAAGCCGUUCCUGCCAAGAAAAAAAGUGUAGCGCCAAUAAAUCCGUGGGAUAAUAUUUGUAAAAUAGCUCCAUUGAGUCCAAUGUUGGUUAUGGAACCAAUUCCUAUAAUUAUGAAACCCAUGUGAGAUACAGAGGAAUAGGCUAUUCUUUUUUUGAAAUUUCGUUGACCAAGAGAAGUUGAGGCUGCAUAGAUUAUUUGGAUCGCUCCUAUUAUUACCAACCAGGGCGAAAAUAGAUAAUGAGCAUGAGGUAACAAUUCCAUGUUGAUACGAAUCAACCCAUAUGCUCCCAUCUUUAAUAGGAUUCCCGCUAAAAGCAUACACGUACUAUAAUGUGCUUCCCCAUGGGUAUCUGGUAACCACGUAUGGAGGGGUAUAAUCGGCAAUUUGACAGCAUAAGCAAUAAGGAAGCCAAAAUAUAAAAGUAUUUCCAAGGUUGCAGGGUAUGAUUGAUUAAUUAAUCUUUCCAAAUCUAAUCCCGGUUCGUUGGAACCGUACAAGCCCAUACCCAGAACUCUAAACAAAAAAAGGAUUUCCAAAAUAGAUCAUAGAUAAUUCUAACAAUUGCCAAUAAAUCCCGGCUUUUUACCAAGUUGAUGGUAAGAAAUCCCGGGACCUAGAAAUUCAUUUCGUACAAUUGAACCUUUUCAAACUGUUUCUUUUUGAGAACCAAAAAAACUUGUGCCAAAAUAACGGAUGCGAAGAAGAACAAAAGGCCUUGGACGCGUAAUGGAUCCUGAAGCACUAUUUCUGCAUCCCCCUGACCAAAUCCUCCCACAUUGGGAUUACUUGUUAAUGGUUGAUCAAGCUUGAUGGAUUCCCCCUCUGAAACAAGAAGUUCUGGCCCGGGAGGUAUAAUAUCAAUCAAUUGGCGUCCAUCCGAUGCAUCCACUAUGGAUAUUUCAUACCCCCCUUUUUCUUUACGUAGUAUUUUUUUUACUAUACCUGUUGACGUAGCAUUAUAGACCGUAUUGUUACUCUUGCUACCAUCAGGAUAGAUCUGCCCUCUUCCUCGGUUUCCCCCUACAUAUAUGGGAUAUUUUAAGAAAUGAGCAUCUUUCUUCGUAGCAGGAUCAGGGGAAAGAAUGGGAAAGACAAUUUCACUAUAUUUCUUACCGGGAACAGGGCCUAUCACAAGAAUAUUUUUUUUAUCGGGACGAUAACUCUGAAAAGAGAGAUUUCCUAUCUUUUCUUUCAACUCAGGGGAAAUACGGUCGGGCGGCGCUAAUUCGAAUCCCUCGGGCAAAAUAAGAACAACACCCACAUUUAACCCUCCCUUUUUCCCAUUAGCAAGAACUUGUUUCAGUUGCAUAUCAUAAGGAAUUCGGAGAACUGCUUCAAAUACAGUAUCGGGAAGCACAGCUUGGGGAACUUCAAUAUCCACGGGCUUGCUAGCUAAAUGGCAAUUGGCGCAUACAAUUCGUCCAGUUGCUUCUCGUGGGUUUUCAUAACCCUGCUGCGCAAAAAUGGGAUAUGCAUUUGAAAUAGAUGUCCGAGUUAUUACGUAUAUCAUGAUCGAUACAGAAAUCGAUCGAGUCAUCUGUUCCUUUACCCAAGAAAAAGUAUUUCUAUUUUCCAUGUCCAAUCGCAGAUCCCAGAAUUUCUACAAUAAAUUAGAUAGGUAGCUAAGCUAAUCUAGUUCCCUAUACACGAGUCUGUUGUCAUUCUACUGCAACAGUUGUACCGGAAUGAUGAAUACCUUUAAGCAGGUAGAAAUAGAAAGAAUUUUGCUAAAAUGGAAAGGGGCCUUUUUCUAAAGAAAGAAAGAUGCUAAUUUGAUUAAUAUCAGGAGAUCAAAUGAAUUUAUGCUUCACUAAUUGAAUGAUAAAUGACUACAAGCGAAGGGGAUAGACGGUUUAAACAAAAAAAGACCCAAAAUUUCAAACAUGUAUCUAGAAUUACUGGAAAACUACAAACAAAAAUAGUAAAAAUUAGCUCGUUAGGAGCCCAUCCAAGAUCGUUGUAGACCCAACGAAUGACUAGUUCCCAACCCCGGGUGGAGUGAAAUCCAACAAAAAAAUCAGUAACCAAAAGGAUAAAAAAAGCUUUUAUUGAGUCAUUUAAGUUAUGGAAGAAUUCCUGAACCCAAGAAUUCCAAAUGACAAGUUCCUCUUUACCAAAAAAAAAAAGAACUACUUAGAAUAGCCAAACAGAUUAUAUUUGUCGAGAAAUGCAAAAUGAUAUGGAGAUGAUCUUCAUUAUCUAUUUUGACCCAUUGUAUUAUUUCCUUGUGUAUUCCUAUAGGAGGUUUUUGUACAUGUGUCUUUGGUUUCUCUUUUAUCAUCUCGUCCAAGAGAGAAAGUUCUUCUAAUUCUAUGAAUCUUUCUAGAAUCCUUUUCUCUUGAAUAUCAGUUAAGAGAGUUUCAGAUUGUCUGGUAUUCCACCAAUUCUUAAUCCAAAGUUCCAGACAUUUGUUAACUGAGAAAGAGGCCCCCCAGGGCAAAAGUACGAUAAAUACAAGAUAUAGUAAAGAAGGCAAUGCUUUCUUUUUUUUCAUUUUUGAUCUAUAAAUUGAGUUGUUAAUGAAUCCGCUUCAUUCGCUGACUCUAUGAUGAUAUUUUUUUUUCUUUGAAGCAAAAACUCUAUAGCAAGGUUUGAGACCCUGUAUCUAUUCUUCUUUUUUGUAUUGUAUAUUAGUGGAAUUUCAUUGCAUUGGGUUCUUUCUUAUAUCUAGAUGGAGUGGAAUAGAAAAAAAGAUGAAAAUGGAAAGAAUAGUAUGCCAUAUAUCCCACUUGGGCAAAAUAAAUUUAAAGAAAUUUUAUCUUAUCCUCGUUUGUUCCUUCCUUUAGAUAAAUACUAAAAAAGCCCCUUACAAUACAAUAACAAAUCAAAUUUCGGAGGGACUUCCUCCCCAUGUUGAGAAAACUUUUCUUCUUCCAAUUCUUCUUCAUUCUAUUCAGUUCCAAAAAAUACAAUGGAUAUUCAAAAUACUUCAAUUGGUACGCGCAAGAAAUAGGCCAAUUCGGCAGCUUUUUGUUCAAUUUCUCGUGGAGUAAAAAACUUAUCAUCAGUACGAGUCAAGGGAAUGACCCCCUGGCCCCGGAUUUCCAUAUAAAGGAUACGACGAGGAUAAAAACCCUCUUUAACCUGAAUUCUAAUUGAUUGGAUAUCCCGCAUAAGGAAUCGAAGGAAGACGCGACGUUUUAUUCCAGGGAAUCCCCAACGAAAAAUGCACACGAUUCCCUCUUUUCUAUCGAAUCGGUCAUAACCACUACCUACAUUCCACAAAAUAGCACACCACAAGUAGGAGCUAAUGAAUAAGCCCGCGAUUCCGUAGAAAGACAUCACGACUCCCUGCGGAAAAAAAAGAAUUUGUUGAGAUGGAAGUAUAGAUAUCAUAUUCUUACCAAGAUAACUGGAAACCCCAACUGAUAAGAAUCCUAGUGAACCUAGAAAAAGAAUAGAGGCCCAGAAAAAAUUACCCCUUUUUCGAGAACCUUUUAGAAGUUCUACCCAUAUGUGUUCUGAUCGCCAAUUCAUAUUAGAUAUACUAAAUCCAGCAGCAGUCGAUUGAAAUUGAGAGAAUAAGCUAAAUGAUUUUGACUUUACUUUUUUUGAUUCUGAAAUCGCCUUCAGCAACGAGUACUCUUGUGAAAUAAUAGGUUAGAUACACUGACUUUCUAUUCAAAAAAUAUUCGUUGAUUCAAUUAAAAUAAAAAUAGCUAUACCCGGCUCCGCAUAUUCAUGCAUUUAUGCUUGUAGCCUAUAUCCGCAUCCAUAGCCGUUUUUCAUUUGUGUGUAGAAAGAGCCACAUACCCUACCAUAUUCUAUUACUUACACUUACUUACACUAAAAAAAUACUAGACAAUCUUAUUUUUCUGCACAUAAAGAAAUAAAGAAGCCAUUGCAAUUGCCGGAAAUACUAAGCCUACUAAAGGCACGAAAAUCGAAGGUAAGUUUAAAUCCGUCAUAGAAUAGGUGUCUCAAUUCAAAUUAACUAUUUCUAUCUAUUCGAAAAAUGUCUUAAGAUUCUUAUGAUAUAAUUAAGUAUAUCUAUUAUGAGUAAUAUUGACUAUUGUAUUUUUUAGUUUGCAAAAAAAAAAAAAUUUUAUAGAAGACUUUUUUUCUGUAAAUACUGCGUAUUUGAUUCUAUUAUCAUAUGAUAAUAGUAUAUUUGAUUUGUAUUUAUUUAUUAUACCUUUAUAUAUUCUAGAUAUAUAGAAUAGGCGAAUCUCGAUUUGUGAAGUCUCAUGAUCGUAUCAUGAUCCAUUUUUAUUCGGCUCAAUCUUUUUUUUUAGAAAAAAAAAGAUUGAGCCGAGUUUAAUUGCAGUCAAUUAGAAGAAUAAAGAAGAAUUACUGCAUUUCGUAACUUAUUUUUUCUCUUUUUAUUUUGUUUCUUUUUAUUUAGACCUUCUUCAUAUUUAGUUUUAUCUACUAAUCGAUAGUAUCUACCGGCGCGAACUCGAAUUUGAUCGCCUUCCAUACUUCACAAGCUGCGGCUAGUUCAGGACUCCAUUUGCAAGCUGCUCGGAUAAUUUCAUUACCUUCACGAGCAAGAUCGCGCCCUUCGUUACGAGCUUGUACACAGGCUUCUAAAGCCACUCGAUUAGCUGCUGCACCAGGUGCAUUUCCCCAAGGAUGUCCUAAAGUUCCUCCACCAAAUUGUAAUACAGAAUCAUCCCCAAAGAUUUCGGUCAGAGCUGGCAUAUGCCAAACAUGAAUACCACCUGAAGCUACUGGUAUAACACCUGGCAUGGAUACCCAGUCCUGAGUGAAAAAGAUACAGCGAGCACGAUCUUUUUCAAUAAAAUCGUCGCGCAAUAAAUCAACAAAACCUAAAGUGAUUUCGCGUUCCCCUUCUAACUUACCUACUACUGUACCGGCGUGGAUAUGAUCUCCCCCAGACAUACGCAAUGCUUUAGCUAAUACACGGAAAUGCAUACCAUGAUUUUUCUGUCUAUCAAUAACUGCAUGCAUUGCACGGUGAAUGUGAAGAAGUAAGCCAUUGUCGCGGCAAUAAUGAGCCAAAGUAGUAUUUGCGGUGAAUCCCCCAGUUAAGUAGUCAUGCAUUACAAUAGGAACACCUAAUUCUCUCGCAAAAACAGCUCUCUUCAUCAUUUCUUCACAUGUACCCGCAGUUGCAUUCAAGUAAUGCCCCUUGAUUUCACCGGUUUCCGCCUGUGAUUUAUAAAUAGCUUCGGCACAAAAGACAAAACGAUCUCUCCAGCGCAUAAAUGGUUGUGAGUUUACGUUUUCAUCAUCUUUGGUAAAAUCAAGUCCACCACGUAGACACUCAUAACACGCUCUACCGUAAUUUUUUGCAGAUAAUCCCAAUUUUGGCUUAAUAGUACAUCCCAAUAAAGGACGACCAUACUUGUUCAACUUAUCUCUUUCCACUUGGAUACCGUGAGGCGGGCCUUGGAAAGUUUUUGAAUAAGUAGGGGGAAUUCGUAGAUCCUCCAGACGUAGAGCACGUAGGGCUUUGAAACCAAAUACGUUACCUACAAUGGAAGUAAACAUGUUAGUAACGGAACCCUCUUCAAAUAGAUCUAAUGGAUAAGCUACAUAACAGAUCCAUUGACUGUCUUCCCCAGGAACAGGCUCGAUGUGAUAGCAUCGUCCUUUGUAACGAUCAAGACUAGUAAGUCCAUCAGUCCAAACAGUUGUCCAUGUACCAGUAGAAGAUUCGGCAGCUACUGCAGCCCCUGCUUCUUCGGGCGGAACCCCAGGUUGAGGAGAUACUCGGAAUGCUGCCAAGAUAUCAGUAUCCUUGGUUUCAUACUCCGGGGUGUAGUAAGUCAAUCUAUAAUCUUUAACACCAGCUUUAAAUCCAACACUUGCUUUAGUUUCUGUUUGUGGUGACAUAAGUCCCUCCUUACAACUCUUGAAUUAAGAAUUCUCACAAUAACAAGGUCUACUCGAUGUGAAUUAGGCGUAAAUGAAACUUUAGCAAAAAUCUCAUAAAAAAAAAGAGAUAUUCAAUUAAUAGCAACUCAUUACAGAAAAUUGAGGGCAUGCUUAAGUUAAUUAAUAUUUUUCAUUCAUAUAUAAUGCGUAUACCCUGUGUAUGUUCUAUCCUAUAGGAAUUUCACUAUAGGAAUUCGAUAGGAAUUGAGUUGUUGUUAUGGUAAGUUAACACCGUUCGUUAUUAAACCAAGGAUUUGAUUUAACAAAUCCAUCAUUAUUGUAUACUCUUUGAUAGAUAUAGCGCAACCCAAAUCAAUCCUUAACCUUUUUUUUUACAAAUUAUUAAAGGGCCCCUUUCUUAUUUUGAAAAGAAAUACCUAACUAAAUACUAAGAAAAUUUUCUGUUGACAGCAAUCUAUGCUUCACAGUAGUAUAUAUUUUGUAUAGCGAAGUCCUAGAUAGGAAAGUAGAGUAGGCACAGAUCCUCCACAAAAGGAAAAAUCUAUCUUAUGAAAAAAAGAUUGAUUGAACUUUCCAACGGCCUCAUUCCAUGAGUAAAGGGUUGAAAGGGAUUCGCUUGGGCAAUGAAAUCAAGUCCUGUUCCCCUUUUUUCUCUUAUUGAAUUAACUAAUUGAUUUCCUUUUUACUUUUGGAUUUUUGGAUAUUUUUUUGGAUUUGGUAUUAUUCAACAAGAAAAAAAUAAAAAUUUCGACAAAUUCCUUUUUUUUUUAUUAUGUGAUAAUUAUGAGAACCAAUCCUACUACUUCUCGUCCCGGGGUUUCCCCAAUUGAAGAAAAAAGUACAGGCCGUAUCGAUCAAAUUAUUGGACCCGUGCUGGACGUCACUUUUCCCCCCGGUAAGUUACCUUAUAUUUAUAACGCUUUGGUAGUCCAGAGUAGAGACACUGCCGAUAAGCAAAUUAAUGUGACUUGUGAGGUACAACAAUUAUUAGGAAAUAAUCGAGUUAGAGCUGUAGCUAUGAGUGCUACAGAUGGGUUGAUGAGAGGAAUGGAAGUGAUUGACACAGGAGCUCCUCUCAGUGUUCCGGUCGGCGGAGCUACUCUCGGGCGAAUUUUCAACGUUCUUGGGGAGCCUGUUGACAAUUUGGGUCCUGUAGAUAGUAGUGCAACGUUCCCUAUUCAUAGAUCUGCGCCUGCCUUUAUCGAGUUAGAUACGAAAUUAUCCAUCUUUGAAACAGGUAUUAAGGUCGUCGAUCUUUUAGCUCCUUAUCGACGUGGAGGAAAAAUAGGACUAUUUGGGGGGGCUGGAGUAGGUAAAACAGUACUCAUCAUGGAAUUAAUCAACAACAUUGCUAAAGCUCAUGGGGGCGUAUCCGUAUUUGGUGGAGUAGGGGAACGGACUCGUGAAGGAAAUGAUCUUUAUAUGGAAAUGAGGGAAUCCGGAGUAAUUAAUGAAAAAAAUAUUGAGGAAUCAAAGGUAGCUCUAGUCUAUGGCCAAAUGAAUGAACCACCGGGAGCUCGUAUGAGAGUUAGUUUAACUGCCCUAACUAUGGCGGAAUAUUUCCGAGAUGUUAAUAAGCAAGACGUGCUUUUAUUCAUCGAUAAUAUCUUUCGUUUUGUUCAAGCAGGAUCGGAGGUAUCCGCUUUAUUAGGGAGAAUGCCCUCCGCGGUGGGUUAUCAACCUACUCUUAGUACAGAAAUGGGUUCUUUGCAAGAAAGAAUUGCUUCUACUAAAAAGGGAUCUAUAACUUCGAUCCAAGCGGUUUAUGUACCUGCGGACGAUUUGACUGACCCUGCUCCUGCCACAACAUUUGCCCAUUUGGAUGCUACUACCGUACUUUCCAGAGGAUUAGCUUCCAAGGGUAUUUAUCCAGCAGUAGAUCCUUUAGAUUCAACCUCAACUAUGUUACAGCCUCGGAUCGUUGGCAACGAACAUUAUGAAACUGCGCAAAGUGUUAAGGAAACUUUACAACGUUACAAGGAACUUCAGGACAUUAUCGCAAUUCUUGGAUUGGAUGAAUUAUCGGAGGAGGAUCGUUUAACUGUAGCAAGAGCGCGAAAAAUUGAGCGUUUCUUAUCACAACCGUUCUUUGUAGCAGAAGUUUUUACUGGUUCUGCAGGAAAGUAUGUUGGUCUUGCAGAAACAAUUAGGGGAUUUCAACUAAUCCUUUCCGGAGAAUUAGAUGGCCUACCCGAGCAGGCUUUUUAUUUGGUGGGUAACAUCGAUGAAGCUAGCACGAAAGCUAUAACCUUAGAAGAGGAGAACAAAUCGAAGAAAUGAAAUUAAAUCUUUAUGUACUGACUCCUAAGCGAAUUAUUUGGGAUUGUGAAGUGAAAGAAAUCAUUUUAUCCACUAAUAGUGGUCAAAUUGGGGUAUUACCAAACCAUGCCCCCAUUAACACAGCAGUAGAUAUGGGUCCUUUGAGAAUACGCCUCCUCAAUGACCAAUGGUUAACGGCGGUUCUGUGGAGCGGUUUUGCGAGAAUAGUUAAUAAUGAGAUCAUUAUUUUAGGAAAUGAUGCGGAACUGGGUAGUGAUAUUGAUCCGGAAGAAGCUCAACAGGCACUUAAAAUAGCCGAAGAUAACUUGAGUAAAGCUGAGGGUACGAAAGAAUUGGUUGAAGCGAAACUAGCUCUCAGACGAGCUAGGAUACGAAUCGAGGCUGUCAAUUGGAUUCCCCCAUCCAAUUGAAGACAAUCCAAUGGUUUAUAGUUGAUACAAAGAUAAAGGGAAGAGGGGUAGAAAAAGUUAUUAGAUAGCGAAGCGAAAUAAGCCCAAUGCUAUCUAGUAAUUUUUCUACCUACCUACCUACUAUUGGAUUUGAACCAAUGACUCCCGCCGUAUGAAAGCAAUACUCUAACCACUGAGUUAAGUAGGCAAUUUAUGAUCACAAAGGAAGACCCAUUACUUCGAUCGAUUAUAUAUCGAAUCCCUUUUCUAAGCAAUAACGCUUCCUUAUUGGUAUGUUAUAUACUAAACAGAUACAUAUUUAAAGAGAUACCCUCUGGCAUUAGAGAAUAUUCAUCUUGACAAUAAAUUAUCUAUAUGUUAAGAUAUCUCUGAUAAGGGCUAUAGCUCAGUUCGGUAGAGCAACUCGUUUACACGUGCGCCAAUGCUUUUCAAAGGAGCUUAUUAUGCAAUGAAUAUUUUGGAUCUUAUUGCAAAAUCAAUGUCUUACUUCAUAGAUUCGACAGAAUAGGAGAACAGUAGCCUGACAAAGAGUCAGUUCAGUCCGAUUCAGGUCCCCAUUCUGGUGCCUAAUCAAAUCGAACCCUUAUGGAUUUGCUAGUUGAUAAGGUAAAUAUCCAGCCCACUAAAUGCUAGGCGUAAUGAGGAUAAGGGCCUCCAAAAAACUUCUUUUCGUUCUAUGAACUUUAAGGUGUAUGAAGUCUCAUAGUUAACUCUUGCAGUGGAACGAUAGAGACUCCAUUUCACUUAGGUUGAUUUAAUUUAGGCCGGAGGCAGACCUAAGUCAAGGUAAUCCUCCUUUGAAACACUUUGGUAUUGCUCCUAGAUAGACCAUAAUACAAAUAAUCAAUCAGAGCACAGGGAGCCAUCUCAUUAUCUUUCCGUAAAGAAAAACUAUGGUGGACUAACUGAUCUUUAAAUCAGUUGAUGAAAGAGCCCAAUGCAAAAAAAUGCAUGUUGGGUCUUUGAAACAGUUCGAAUCAUUUCGAUAAUAAUCUGUUUGAUCUGUUUUACCGAGAAGGUCUACGGUUCGAAUCCGUAUAGCCCUAAUAUGUCCUAUUUUUGGAUUUUAGUAUAGAUAUCCUAUGUUUUCCUUAGUAUAGCUUUUAUUUUCACAUUAGUACUUGUUUAUAGACUGGGCGGGCGCCUGCGACAUAGAAUAGGCGUAAAAGCAUUACCACAGGCUCAUUCAUCAAAAAUCAUAGAGAUAAGAAACGAAAAAGUGAUUUCUAUCAAAUCAAUAGAAGAAAAGAGCCCUUCCCUGAUUUGAAUCCCGCCCUUCUUCAAAUAGGGUAUCUCUAGACUUCCCUAUAAAAACUGCAAUGAUUUUCUCCAUCUUGCGAAUUUAUACUUUGUUUUAAGUAUAUUACUUUGCUUAUAUAUACAUUAUCUAAAUCGAUCUACUUAAAAUCCUAAAUAGAAAAAAAAAUAGAAAGAAUUAAAGUAAAGAGUAAAUAAGAAAACAGAAUAUUAUGUCUCAUAGUUCUGAAAUAGAGUUCCUUAUUUUUUUAUAGUAUUACUUCUCAGUCUACUGCAUAGACUAGUCCUCUUAUGUUAAUUAGGUUCUAAAGAUUAUAGAGAAAGCAAAAUAAAGUGAAGGGAUAAAGUAUUUUUUAUAUAAGAAUUAGAUCUAUACCAUAUCUAAAUAGAAUGGAAAAAAAAGAAGGGGAGUUGGGAUUCCAUUGGAUGAAUCUUUAAAGAAGACACAGCACAGAGAAAACAAAGGCUAAACUAAGCGAUUUUGUUUGAACAAAACAGAUUCUUGUUUCACCGAGGAAAAGAGAUAAGUUCUGGAUGAAUUGACAAUGCAUAAUUGAAUUGAUUAAUUUAAGUCUCGUCUAUUCUACAUUAAUGGGAGUACAUUAUGUUUCUGCUUCACGAAUAUGAUAUUUUUUGGACAUUUCUAAUAAUAGCAAGCCUUAUUCCGAUUUUGGCAUUUUGGAUUUCAGGGCUUUUAGCCCCGAUUAGUGAAGGACCCGAAAAGCUUUCUAGUUAUGAAUCGGGUAUAGAACCCAUGGGAGGGGCUUGGCUACAAUUCCGAAUACGCUAUUACAUGUUUGCGCUAGUUUUUGUUGUUUUUGAUGUGGAAACCGUCUUUCUCUACCCUUGGGCAAUGAGUUUCGACGUAUUGGGUGUAUCCGUUUUUAUCGAAGCUUUCAUUUUCGUGCUUAUCCUAGUUGUUGGUUUAGUUUAUGCAUGGCGAAAAGGAGCCUUGGAAUGGUCUUAACUGAAUAUUUAGAAAAAAAAAAAGAAGAAAAAGAUUCCAUUGAGACAGUUAUGAGUUUGAUUGAGUUUCCUUUACUUGACCAAACAAGUUCCAAUUCUGUUAUUUCAACUACACCAAACGAUCUUUCAAAUUGGUCAAGACUCUCCAGUUUAUGGCCCCUUCUAUACGGUACCAGUUGUUGUUUCAUUGAAUUUGCUUCAUUAAUAGGCUCGCGAUUCGACUUUGAUCGUUAUGGAUUGGUACCAAGAUCAAGUCCUAGGCAAGCGGACCUAAUUUUAACAGCUGGUACAGUAACAAUGAAAAUGGCUCCUUCUUUAGUGAGGUUAUACGAGCAAAUGCCUGAACCAAAAUACGUCAUUGCUAUGGGAGCUUGUACUAUUACAGGGGGAAUGUUCAGUACGGAUUCCUAUAGUACUGUUCGAGGAGUUGAUAAGUUAAUUCCUGUGGAUGUCUACUUGCCGGGUUGCCCACCUAAACCGGAGGCGGUUAUAGAUGCCCUAACAAAACUUCGUAAGAAGAUAUCGCGAGAAAUAGUUGAGGAUCGAAUUCGAUCUCAAAAUAAAAACCGAUGUUUUACUACCAGUCACAAGCUUUAUGUUCGGCGCAGUACUCAUACUGGAACUUACGAGCAAGAAUUGCUCUAUCAAUCACCAUCUACUUUAGAUAUAUCUUCUGAAAAUUUUUACAAAUCCAAAAGUAUAGUACCUUCCUACAAAUUAGUGAAUUAGGAGGGGGGUUCUUUUGUCUAGAAAAAUAAAAAGCAAGGCAAUCUUUGAAACUUGCAUCCGAAAUGUGAAAUAUUUAUACAAAACAAAGAGGGAGAGAUCAAGACAAUGCAGCAGGGUUGGUUAUCUAAUUGGCUAGUCAAACAUAAGGUGGUUCAUAGAUCUUUGGGCUUUGAUCACCGAGGAAUAGAGACUUUACAAAUAAAAGCGGGGGAUUGGGAUUCCAUUGCUGUCAUUUUAUACGUAUAUGGUUACAAUUAUUUACGCUCCCAAUGUGCUUAUGAUGUAGCACCCGGUGGAUCUUUAGCUAGCGUGUAUCAUCUUACGAGAAUACAGUAUGGCAUAGAUAACCCAGAAGAAGUAUGCAUAAAAGUCUUUGCCCAAAAGGAUAAUCCUAGAAUUCCGUCUGUCUUCUGGAUUUGGAGAAGUGCCGAUUUUCAAGAACGCGAAUCUUAUGAUAUGGUGGGAAUCUCUUAUGAUAAUCAUCCGCGCCUUAAACGUAUCCUAAUGCCUGAAAGUUGGGUAGGCUGGCCCUUACGUAAGGACUAUAUAACCCCCAAUUUCUAUGAAAUACAAGAUACUCAUUGAAUGAUAAGAAAUUCAUGCGGACUUAUACAACACAACUCCAGAUUUUAUUCAAGUAAAGGAAAAUUUUUACGUUCUGUUCCUAGAUGAAACGGAAUACCUAUUUCGAAUUAAUUCCUAUUAUACAAAAGUAGUCCAGAUAGACUGAGCAAAAAAAGGGUUUCAUUUGGAUUCCCUUAUUUGGAAAAUCACAUAUGAAUUUCCCUCAUAUGAACAGAAAAAUAUGAUGACUCAAAGAAGUUCUCUACCACGAACUUUGUAUCGCGCGCAUGACUUAGCACAAUUGGAAAAGUAAGAUAAGCAAGAAUAAAAAAAUAUUCGUCGUAAUAUGCAGAAUACAAAAUUAAGAAAUGCAAAAAAAAAUAAAGGGGAACCUAAUCUCACCUCCUUCUGUACCAUAAAGAAAAGAACCAGAGAUUUUUACCCUUCUCUAAAAAGAAAAAGAAGUGCCUCUAUAUUAGAGACUUAUCCACCUAGAUGAAUAAAUCAGACUUUAUUUAUAGUAUUAACGAAUAUGUAUCCUAAUCCAUCUUGAGGCAUUUUUAUCAAAACCUAUUCGGUAGAUCUUUUUUUUCUCUGCCAGGAACCAGAUUUGAACUGGUGACACGAGGAUUUUCAGUCCUCUGCUCUACCAACUGAGCUAUCCUGACCUUUUCUUGUGCAUCAUCCUAGUAGAGUAUUUGUAUCUAUGUCAAUUAAAGGGACUCAAAAAUCAAUUAAAGUAUUUCAAAUUCCAAAUUGAAAAAUGGGGGGGUGGUCCUAUGCAUUGUGCAUGGAUUACUUAAUAAUACUUAAAAAUAGAGUUAAUAACCGAGAGUCCUUGCGGAUACUCUAAUAAAAAAGAAAUCUAUUCAAUGAAUAGGAUAAGAUCCAUUGAGUUCUCUUCGCACUCCUUUGUGAAAGAGUAGAAUGAGAAAGCUAAUGAAUCUUAAACCCAUUGAUAAAAAGAAAAAAAGAGGAUAAAAGUUAGGGAAUAAAAGAGGAUAGUUGGGGAAUAAAAAGGAUUUGGGGAUAGAGGGACUUGAACCCUCACAACUUAUAAAGUCGACGGAUUUUCCUUUUACUCGAAAUUUCAUUGUUGUCAGUAUUGACAUGUAGAAUGGGACUCUCUCUUUGUCCUCGUCCGAUUAAUCCACUUUUUAAAAGAUCUCAAGUACUUUGAAUUGAAGGAUUUGAUUACUCAAGAUUCAAUUAGAAUGGAUUCACAAUAAUUCUAAAAAAUUUAUUAAUUUUUUAUUUCAUAAUCCUUCCUAAUUUCAUUCUAAAAAAGAAUAAAGAACCUAUGUUAUACUUGGAUUCUGUGAUUAAUCGUUUACUAUGUUAGUAUCUAUACGUGUUUAUUAGAUGUAAAAAUCCCUUCUUUCUCUAAUUUAAAAGGAUUUCCACUACCAAAACAACCUAAAUAAAUUAACUCGAUUCGUUAGAACAGCUUCCAUUGAGUCUCUGCACCUAUCCUUUUCCUUUGGAUUCUAGUUCGAGAACCCCUUGUUUUCUCAAAACACGGAUUUGGCUCAGGAUUGCCCUUUUUUAAUUCCAGGGUUUCUCUGAAUUUGGAAGUUAACACUUAGCAGGUUUCCAUACUAAGGCUCAAUACAAUCAAGUCCGUAGCGUCUACCGAUUUCGCCAUAUCCCCAUUUUCCUUUUUUUUUGAGACCUGGAUUCCUUGCGUAAUUUCAUCCAUCUCUUAGUUUUUUUGGAAUCGUUGAAUUCAUCACUCGACGUCAUCUAGCAGUUCGAUUCUAUUUGAGAGACCACGCUUGUUUAUUGCAAUUCAGAAUUGCAUUGAUUCUAUCGUUGCUGUAUUUGCAAUUCAAUCCGAAUCAAUAUAUCCCAAAAAUUUUCUCUCCCCCACCGCUCAUCUUACUUUUUUAGAGUAUUAAAAAUCAUACUAUAACGCUUGAUAUUCAUUUUUUUUCUACUCAAAAUUGGCAAUUUUAUUUGCUAUGACUUUAUGUUCUCCUUAGAGAAAUAGGAAUCCUCAAAUUAUUAACAAAUAAAAAAAGAUCUAAAAAAAUGUCUAUAAUGAUCGAAUGAAAACACCAAUAAAUUCGUAUUUUCCCCUUAUUAUUUCUUUAAUAUAUAUAUAUUAUUAUAUCUUUAAUAUAUUUCAUAAUAUAUAUAUAUAUUUCUUUUCUAUGUAUUAGAUUAUUCGUCCGAGCUAUAUCAAAUUGAAAAUAUCUGAAAUCAAAUUCAAUAUAGAAAUUGGAAUCAACUCUUAGAAAAAAGAUUUGCGAAUUAGAGAAAUAAAAAGAAAGUUCAAUAAAUUCUAUACUUUUAUUUAAGGAUAUCCUCUAGUUAAGCAUAUCAAGCUAACUUUAUCUUUAAAAAGUUCUAGUAUUUUUUUAAGUAGAACUUCAAAUUGAGAACUAGUUAAUAGCUAAGAUUAAUAACUAAGAUCUCAGAUUUUACGGAUUUCUAUACUAUACCUAUUUCUAUUUGUUACACUAUUUCUGCUAUCUAAGCCCACUUAGCUCAGAGGUUAGAGCAUCGCAUUUGUAAUGCGAGGGUCAUCGGUUCAAAUCCGAUAGUCGGCUUUUUUUUCGUUAUCGAUGUUCUACGAACAAGAAUCUCUUUUUUUUUUCGGAUUAAAUGGGGAAUCCAGGAUCUUUUUUGUUUUCUACCUUACAAUUUUGCUAGAUACAAAAGAAUAAAAUAAAUAAUAUAUAUACAAAAAAUCCAGAUGUUGAUGAAAUUCUAUUUUUUAUGGUACUUUAGUUGAUUUUACUCUGUUUAUCCUUUAGUUUAAUUCAGUUUUAAUUUCGAUGUAUUCCGUAAUGUAAAUACAAUGAAAUUAAUUGUGUAAAAUGAAAUUUCAAUAAAAUAAAAAAGGAGUUUUCAUGUCCCGUUAUCGAGGACCUCGUUUAAAAAAAAUACGCCGUCUGGGAGCUUUACCAGGACUCACUAGAAAAACACCUAAAUCCGGAAGUAAUCUGAAAAAGAAAUUCCAUUCUGGGAAAAAGGAGCAAUAUCGUAUUCGUCUUCAAGAAAAACAGAAAUUGCGUUUUCAUUAUGGUCUGACAGAACGACAAUUACUUAGAUAUGUACAUAUCGCUGGAAAAGCAAAAAGGUCCACAGGUCAGGUUUUACUACAAUUACUUGAAAUGCGUUUGGAUAAUAUCCUUUUUCGAUUGGGUAUGGCGGCAACCAUUCCUGGGGCCCGCCAAUUAGUCAACCAUAGACAUAUUUUGGUUAAUGGUCGUAUAGUUAAUAUACCAAGUUUUCGUUGCAAACCUCGAGAUAUUAUUACUACGAAAGAUAACCAAAGAUCACAAAGUCUGGUUCAAAAUUCUAUUGCUUCAUCCGACCCGGGAAAAUUGCCAAAGCAUUUGACGAUUGACACAUUGGAAUAUAAAGGACUAGUAAAUAAAAUCCUAGAUAGGAAGUGGGUAGGUCUCAAAAUAAAUGAGUUGUUAGUUGUAGAAUAUUACUCUCGUCAGACUUGAACUUAACGAAAAAAGGAAAGGUUCAUAGAAUUUUCUUCCCCUUUUCCCGAACUAAAUCGACCUAAGGCCCUAAUUCGUAUUUUCCUACUCAACUAGCAAAAAUGGAUUAACCCGAGGAUCCUUUUUUCUUUUUUGUUCUUUUCUCUAUGUGUAUUUUUACAUACCACAGUAAUUUGCUAUAGAGAAUUUCUAUUAAAUAAGGGUAAGGGUAUUAUUGCUGGAAUAAAUUGUUAUUUGAUUUGAUACACUGUGCUCCUUAACGUUGAUGAAUUAAGAAAAACGGAAAGAGAGGGAUUCGAACCCUCGGUAAACAAAAGUCUACAUAGCAGUUCCAAUGCUACGCCUUGAACCGCUCGGCCAUCUCUCCCACAUAACUCAUUAUGGCAAAUAAACUGAGUAAAUAGCGAGUUUUCCUAUUCCUGCAGUACAAGUACAACCGCUCAGGGGUUCCAUAGUUCUAUUGGAAAAAUUCCUUUUGAUCUAAGUUAAGUGGAAGGAUCCAGGAUUUUUUUACUAGGAAUUGCUUCCCCUAUAAAAGUUUUAGUUUGGAUUUUCCUAAAACCAAAGAAAAAGAGAAUGGAAGAAUUCUUCUUAUUGCAUAAUAAAAUAAAGAAACCUUAGAAUUCUGUUUGCAUAAGGUACGCUACACCAGACUAUCGAAAUCGAAAAUAAGGUAUGAGACAAUUAAUAACUUUGAAAACACGAAAUAGCUGAUGAGCGAAGUUGUUGUUGAGAAAUAGGAAAGUAGAAUCAAACCCAGUCUUAGUCAAAUAUUUAAUAUAUCUUCUUGUCCAAACAGAAAGAAAAGGAAAAAAUUAAAGCUGAGCGGAAAAUCCAUACCUCUCUUAUCGAUUUAGAGCAUAUGGAUCGAUCUAGUUAUAAGAAUCAAAUGUGUUUGUUUUUAUGUUAUUUUGUGAAGGAAUGAAAACAAUUUUAUCAUAGAAUGGGUUGGGAAUUAUGCCUAGAUCCCGUGUAAAUGGAAAUUUCAUUGAUAAGACCUCCUCAAUUGUAGCCAAUAUUUUAUUGCGAAUAAUUCCAACAACCUCAGGGGAAAAAAGGGCAUUUACUUAUUAUAGAGAUGGUGCGAUUUGACUCUUUUUUUUUGUUUUUUUUAGCCCUACCUACACCUCAGUCUUCUGAUAAGGAGAGGGGGUUCGCAUAGAGAGAACAAAAUUAGUAAAGCAAACCCACGCUUUGGGAAGGUGAGGUUAAUUAACAAUUCCUUCUAUCGUGUAUCCUCGAUUGAUGCGGCCUCAGAUGCUUCAAUUGUAGAUUUAAGUAUUGAGCGAAAGGUUACACCUAACAGGAUAGGUUAUGGAUUACAGGCCAAUCCUACUCUAUUAGUACCAAUAGGCAGCACAUAGGGGAGAAAAGCACUACACCUAAAAAUAGGAAUCAACAAGAGAAAAACUUUGUUAUAAAUUAACCCUUUCCUAAUCGAUAUCAGGGCUGGGAAGAAUGGUUGGGAUAAUAAACAACCAUCAGGUUUGUACUUUGGAUACCCCUAUAACCAUCAAAGAUCGUUGAAGUGGCUAAUUCCUCUAAAUAGAAGGCGUUGAGAACAAAGAAAUUCUUGGAGCUAUGAUUUUCCUCUAGCAUUAAUAGAAUUCAUAGAAUUCAUUGGUGUUAGGAAAAACCUCUUGCGGGAAGGUUGGCUAGAGAUUUCUUGGAAAAAUACCAGCCCCUUUCGGUCCAUAAUGAGACGGGACUAAUUUGAUUCUAUAGAUUAUUUCGCUUAGUACUAUGUACAGAAGGGAGGAGCCGUAUGAGAUGAAAACCUCAUGUACGGUUUUGGAACGGAGAUUUUUUGAAUAGAAUGAACGACCGUAACGGAUGUUGGCUCAAUCCGAAGGAAAUUAUGCGGAAGCUUUGCAAAAUUAUUAUGAAGCUACGCGACUAGAAAUCGAUCCCUACGAUCGAAGUUAUAUACUCUAUAACAUAGGCCUUAUACACACAAGCAAUGGAGAGCAUACAAAGGCUUUGGAAUAUUAUUUCCGGGCACUAGAGCGAAACCCCUUCUUACCGCAAGCUUUUAAUAAUAUGGCUGUGAUCUGUCAUUACGUGCGACUAUCUCCACUAUAGAAAGAAAAAAAGAAAGAAUCAAAUUUCUAGUAAAUACUAGACAAAAGGGUCUUUCUACAUAGGGGUCGUAAAAACAACGAUUUUUCCCUAUCAGCUGUAGGAAGGAAAGACACUUCACGAGAAUCAAAAAAGGAAGAAAGUAUGGCCUAUACUACUACUCUAUGGAUAAAGUUCUCAAAUUGAUAGAGAAAGCACCGUAAAGAUCAAUUAGUGAGCGACUUGGUCGAUACAACUAAAAAAAACUGCUUACUUAUCCCAUGAUAUGGGGCAAAGUUUAGGAAUCUGCUUAUGUAAUAGAGCCGAUCCACUAAGGGAUUAAGCAGCGGUGUAGUAUCAGAUCCCAAAGAUAGUAAGUUCUUUUUUCUUUCUUAUCUUAUGGGAAAAAGUCUUUUUCAAGGAUUCUAUAGGGAUUUCAUAUAUGAAACCGGGAUAGUUACUUUUCAGAAAAUUCGAACGAAAGCUCUCGAUCUAUCUAUGCUUCAUUCUUCUGAAGGUGGGAAAAAAGAUCAAACUGAUUAGUUAUAAAAAUUAGGGUUUGAAACUUAGGUAAUUAACUUCUUCUGCUUAACCCAAAAACAAAUUGGAUCGAUUUUUCAAAAAUCGAAUUCAGUUAAGAUAGGGGAAAUUAAGAUAGCAAUUUCUGAGCCGUAUGAGGUAGGAAACUCUCAAGUACGGUUCUAGGGGAAGGAACUGCCUAUUCCGACCGAGGAGAACAGGCCAUUCUACAGGGUGAUUCAGAAAUUGCAGAAGCUUGGUUUGAUCAAGCUGCUGAGUAUUGGAAACAAGCUAUAGCGCUUACUCCGGGAAAUUAUAUUGAAGCACAGAACUGGUUGAAGAUUACGAAGCGCUUUGAAUUUGAAUAAGACCACGUUCCUUUUUCAUAUAAAUUAGGUCGUAAGAUCGAAUCAAGAAUUUCAUUAUAUCCCGUUCGUCUUUCUUCUACCUUCUAUUUUAUAUGAGAUUUUAUAAGGAUAAACCAGAGGGAUAGGAUCUAGAAUAGAAGUAAUAAAGCGAAUAAAAAGAGGGGCAAUCUAAAUACUGCUAAUAUAUCAAGACCAUCUUAUUAAUUCUUAAAUAAUUCUAAUGAGUUAUCUUGGAAUUUAGAAUCAAAUAAAAAAUCCUAUAUUACGCUCAAGGAAAGUAGAUGUAGAUAGGAGCUUAUACUCUCAAAAAAAAAUACACCAGUUUAUUAAAUUUUAAAAAGAUUUUUUUCUUACAUCGGGAAAUAUAUACAUAUAUAUAUAUAUUUUUUUUUCAAGAUAUAUAAUGUCCGUUAGGCACCUAAUCCUUAUGUCAUAAUAGAUCCGAACACUUGCCUAGGAUUGACUUCAAUAUAUAAUUGCUCCAGUGAAUAACUAUAAAAAAAUAGAAGGACGGUAGAUAGUAAAGAAAAGAACUAAUCAUAAUAUCUAUCUUUCAAAAUCUAUCUUUCAAAGAUUCACUAAAAAGACAGUUGGCAGGUCUCUUUAUAUGUCUUGUCCGGAAAGAGGAGGACUUAAUGAUUAUUCGUUCGCCGGAACCAGAAGUAAAAAUUAUUGUGGAUAGGGAUCCUGUAAAAACAUCUUUUGAGGAAUGGGCCAGACCCGGCCAUUUCUCAAAAACACUAGCUAAGGGCCCUGAUACUACCACUUGGAUCUGGAACCUACAUGCUGAUGCUCACGAUUUCGAUAGUCAUACGGGUGAUUUGGAGGAGAUCUCUCGAAAAGUCUUUAGUGCUCAUUUCGGGCAACUCUCCAUUAUCUUUCUUUGGUUGAGUGGCAUGUACUUCCAUGGUGCCCGUUUUUCCAAUUAUGAAGCAUGGCUAAGUGAUCCUACUCACAUUGGACCCAGUGCUCAGGUGACCCUUUCGUUUCCUUCGUCUCUCGAAGGUGCGAUCUGCACUGUUAGUUGGGGAUCGACCUCGUUCAUUGUGAACUGAGUCCUC